UGUGGACAGAUGAAUUUUUGUGCUUGUGACGGAUCUGUCCGUUCCUUAUAAAAAAAAUUAAAUGUUUUUUUUACUGAGUAUAUCUUUUUCUGAAAAGUCUUUACAAAAAAAGUUCUAGAUCAUAACAGAUUAAGGCGGGAUUGCGGGAAGAUUGCGUUACGUGUGGUGAGAAACGACGAUGGAAAAAUACUCUGUUUAUUUCUGUAAUAUUACGUUCCACAUAUUGCGGUUAGUCGGUUAAGAUAUAUUUUCUGCGGUGUCGGUUAUAAUAUAUUCUCUGCGGUCCUAUCGGAGAACGCAGAAGUAUAUCUCUAUAUACUUUUUCUCAACUCCAUUCUAUCUAAUAACGUUAGAUAGUCCUCAAUACCAAACUAAGCUUAAAUCAUUAAGAUGUUAGCAUCUUAUACUAUUAACUAACCAAAAGUACUCAUAUUGUGUAGGUUGGUUCACCAUUCCUAUAAAUUUGGAUGUUUAUUAGAUUGCCUUCAUAAACAAGGAAAAAUUCUUCAUAACAUAUGCACCAACAUAUCAAUAAUGGACUCAUACCAAUCAUGCUUAACACAGUUGGAUAAGAAUUUGAUGGUUAGUAUUUGAGAUUCCAAAUUUGAAACAUUAUUACUUUACAUUUUUAGUUGAAUUAAACUAUAAUAAAAAAAAUGAACAAAGCAAAGAGCUUGCUACCUUUCUCUUAGAAAUAACAAUAAUAAUAAUAAUAAUAAUAAUAAUAAUAAUAAUGGGACUUACAACAAUACUCACAUUCAUGUACAGUCAAUAUGUUAUCACAUUUGCGGAGGCCAUAUAUUUCACAAAUUUAUCACGCUAUGUUUGGGAUUGAGUCACAUUUGUGGAGGCCAUAUAUUUCAUAAAUUUAUAACGCUAUGUUUGGGAUUGAGACGAUUGAGACGAGAGAGUAAGAUAAAAAAAUAUAUUAUGUUUUUCUUUUAAAUAUAAUAUCACGUUUCACAUAUCGCAAUCAUUUGUUCUAUUUUGUCUUACUAAGGAUAGAUAGGUCUGAUCAAAAUUAAACAGACGCUAAGGGCUAGUGUGAUUAUGACUAAAAGCAUUGAAUUUAUACUAUAAAAUACGCAAAAAAUACGAAAGUGUUUACAAUCUCUCUUAUUAUUCUAACGAGUGAAGGCCCGCGCUUCGCAGCGGGAAAUUUACGAAGAAAAAUCAAAAUAAAUAACUAAAUAUUUAAAGUUUAAAAUAUUUUAUUAUUCAAAAUUUAAAUUUAAAUUUAGAAUAUAAAAUGUUGAAACUUAAAAUUUAAAUUUUAAUAUAUCAAAUUGAAAUUUCAAUAUUUAGAAUUUAAUAUUUGGAUUUUUAAAAUUCAAUUUAUAAUUAUAUAUAUAUUCUCCUCUCUCCCUAUCUUUCUCCUCUAUAUAUAUAUACAUAUAUGUAUUACAAAUAAUAUUUAUUAUAUCAUUACAUGUCGUGGUUAUAAGUUUCUCUCGGUCCUCUCUCUAUAUAUAUAUGAUAUUAUUUUUGGAAUAGAAAUUUAAUUUGUUGUAUUUAAUUUAAAGGUUUAAAUUUAAGUUUUUAUUUUUUUGUAUGUGAAUGCAACAAUCUAAAAAAAAAUUGGGAAAGAGAAAAAAAAAAAAAAAAAUAAGAACGGAAAGAGAGAAGUUUAUCUAUCUAUCUAUCUAUCUCUUCCUCUCUCAUCUCAUCUGAUCUCUAUAUAUAUAAUAUAUUAUGUAAAUUAAAAAUUUUAAUUGGGAGAUUUCGUAUCGAAGCAUCUUCGCGGCGACGGGUGAGGUGCGGCAUCCCUAGAGGGAGAUGAAGUGGUUGCGGAAGGCGGGGAGAACCAGGGCGGGCAACGCGUAGUCGCAGCCCGGUGGACCUCCCCGCGGGACAUGAGCGGCGAAUGUUGGCGUCGUCGAAGGCGAGCUGUCCCGCGAGGAGCACGAAGAGGAGACCCGGCACGACCAUGCUUCGGCGCGGCUCGCAGCGAACCGCGUCGUAUCCGUUAGCAUUGAAUAGGAAACCUAGAAGGUGGAUCACAUGCUUGAAAACGCCUAGAAGUGUACGAUUCACUUCAUAUUAGCAAUUAAUAUCGCAGAUAAACUAAUCCAGGGACUACACACAAAUAAAGGGAAUAAAAUCAUUUUCAAGUUAACUUCUUUCGCCUGGCAUACUAAUAAUUCUACAACACAGUCCAAAUCUCAAUAAUUUAUCUUGGAAAAGCACUCAGUUUUCACAAAAAUGAGGCACUGAUUACUAUCCUUGCAUCGCAGAGCCGCAUCUAAAAGAAAUAUAUAAUAUUAUAGUAUAUAUAUAAUAUAUAUAUACUAUAUUAAAUGAAGCUCGAGAGAGAAGAUGAAAUGCCGUAGAAAAAAUAAUAUAAUGCGACAGUUAAAUAACUAAUCAUAGUGGACUCUUCAAAUAAGAUAAAUAAAAUUAAAGCUCCUAUGCCAUCUACGAAGCUGCAAAGAAAGUCCUAGGGCAUUAAUAAACAGUAGCCCGGCGUCAGGCCAGGUCCCGCACGGCCGGGUGGAGGCGGCCCCAUCGCGCCGCGCUGGCUAUCCGCGAGGCUGCGGCGAGCCGAAGGAAUCGGAGAGCUUAGAGCACGCCGUCACGGGCGAGGAGCAGGUUCUGCGGCUUGACGUGCGUGGUGGCGGCCACCCGCGCGCACGGUGGCAGUGCACAGCGGGCGGUGACAUGUCUGGCAGCAGGUCUAGUAAUUUAUUUAAUAUUUAUUUAUCAUAAUUUUAGUUUUUUAAUAUAUUCUAUCAUAAACAAUAAAUAGUAUGUAAAUAUAUAUAUAUAUAUAUAUAUAAAUAAUCUUUAUUUAUAAUUAUUAGUAUAUAUAUAAACAUCAUAUAAUACAUAAUAUAUAUUUAUUAAAUAAAUUAAUAUAUAUAUUACUAUAAAAAUUACUGAUAAUGAAGGGAGAGAGAGAGAGAAUGAGAGGUGUGCCACCCGGGACCAUCCUCUCAAUAGUGUCGCACGGGCACUUGGGCCUGUGGGACCCCGUGCAAACCCACGACCACUGCGCGGCGCCGCCGCCCGCGCGAAAAAGUACCGACACGACGCGGCCCGAGCCCCGCGCCGGUAUCCGUGCCCCGCGCCGUCGCUCGCGCCCUGGCCGUCCUCGGCAGACUCUCCGCGCCGUGCCGCGCCCCCGCCGCCGCCCCUCGCGUCCGGCCCCUCCGCCGCGCCGCGCCUCGCCCGCGGCGCCAGCACUGGAGCCCACCCCCGCGAGGGCGCCCGGCGCCCACCCCCCGGGGCGCUAGACGCGCGCCGUGUGCCCGCCGGCCGCCUGCGCCCAUCGUGGCCGUCGCUCCGCAACCUCGGCCUCCUCGCGAAACGUGACGCAGUGCAAAUCUUAAGUGGCGCGGUGGAACGGCGCAUCACCCCGCUCCCAGCAGCGCGCAACCGCGUUCGUGCGAGAGCCCCGCACCGGCCGACACCUCGCGCAGCACUUUAAAUUAAAUUUAAAAGUAAAAUUAAAAUUUUAGGAUCGUAAUCUUUUUUUUUUUAAUAUCGUGAUCCAUAAUUCUUUUAAAAAAAAAAAAUAGAAAGAGAGAGAGAAGAGAUAGAGAGAGGCGAGAGAGAGAGAGAGAGAGGGAGUCGGUCUGCCAGGCGAAAGGGAAAAAAAAAAAAAAAAGCGGCUCAGCGCGGGGCCUCCGCAAAACCGGCUCGCUCCCCCGCAGCCGUCGAGGCCCCCCCGGCUCGCGCCAGCUCGCCUGGCGUCCCGGCCGCACGCCUCGCGCGAGGCCCAUCCGAAGCCCGCGGCGCCCGCCCCGCGCCCGGAGGCCGCGCCCACGCCGGCUCGCGCAAAGAGCGGCAGAUCGCCGCCGCCGCGCCAACGCCCGCCCGCGCUCGCGCCCGCUCGGGCUCGCGCCGCGCCCCCCGCCCGCACGCACGGCUCGCCGCCCCGCGGCGCCGCGCCUGCCUGCCCGGCGCCGGCCGCUCGCCCGCACCGCUGCGCUGCCUCAUCGCCGCACGCCCCGCUCGCGCAAAACGCGGAGCCGCCCUGCGUACCCGCUUAGGACUGCCUCCUCGCGUGCGCCGCCGCGUGGCUGGGGAGAGGGCAGAGAGCAGAGAGAAAGAGGCCAGGGGGAGAAAAGAGGGGACAGAGAGGAGGGGGGAGAGAGGAGACGAGCAGAGGAGAGAGGGGUGUCGUUGGUGGGAUCAGGGAGAGAGCAGAGGGCGGAGGGAAGAGUAAAGAACGGUGGCGGAGAGAGAGAGAGACUCCUCUCUCCGCGCGCGCGCGGACCCUUGUUCUCCCACGCCCCGUGUCCCUCUCUCUCUUUCUCUCUCUCUCCCGCCCGCCCCCGUGCGCUGGGGGCGCGGGUCAGGUACCCCGGCACCGCCGUGUCCCCCCCUCUCUCUCUACGUGCGGGCCCUUGGGGCCCCCGUGUCCCCCCCUCUCUCUCUCUCUCUCUCUACCUCUCUCUCUCUCUGUCUGCUCUCUCUCUAUCUCUCUCUCUCUCUCUUUCUCUCUGUCUGCUCUCUGUCCCUCUCUUUCCCCCUCUCUCUCUGUCUGCUCUCUCUCCUCUCUCUCUCUCUUUCUCUCUUCCUCGCGAGCGCGGAAGCCCCCGCGAAACGCGGGGAGGGCGCCGUACAUACUCAGCUUUCAUUAUUUGUAUUGAUGAUUGAUAUUGAUGAUACUAUAAAAUUGUGUUUGUAAUGACAAUUGUUAACUACAAUUUUAUAAUGUAAAAAAAAAAAUUAAAAACGCUUUUAUAUCUUUUGUACCUUCUUUUUUUUUACCACCGUACUGUCAAAUUAGCCUAACUUAAUAUAGCCUAAAACAUUGAUAGGGAUGUCAAGGGUAUUUUCAAAAAUCCGAACCCAAAGCGUGAACUGGAACUCGAACCCGACGGAUAUUAAAAAUUCAUAUCCAAAUCCGAAUGCAAUAAAAAAUUCAAAACCCAAAUCCAAAUCCGAAAAUCCAAAUCCGAAACAAUUAUUUCUCUUUUCAAUAUUUCAAAAUCUAUUACAUUAAAUCUAAAUGUUUAAAAUAUAAAUUUAAAUAUAACAUCAAAUUUUUAUAUACGUAUUAUAUAUAAUGUAAAAUAAAUUCGAGUUCAGAUCGGGUACAGUUAAAAUCCAUAUCCGAAUCCAUAUCCAUCGGGUUUUUGUUUUUGAUAUUCAUAGCCGAAACCAUAUUCGUUUAGUAUCGAAUAAAUCUGCUCCAUUCGAGUUCGGUUAAAAUUUCGGAUAUCCGUACCAUUGACAUCCCUACUCAUUGAGGAGAGAGUUUCCACUAGAAUAUGUACUAUUGCUCAUAAACAAAAAUUCAUGAGUCCUUCAGCCUUCCUACCUAAGUAUAAAAAGCAUACAGCAUUACUAAAAUAUUAGAAAGAUCGACUAAUCUUUUUUAUAUAUAUAAAAAAAUUUCCCUACUUUUUCAAGAUGACCAACUAAGUCAACUUCCAUAUUAAUGUGGAAAGUACAGCUGAAUCAAAUUACUCUCCAACUUCCCCACAGUUUGUCAACAAGUUGAAUUUUGCUAUUAAAGCUUUGGUACUGUUUCAUUUGCAGCAUUUGAUACUACAAUGUAAGUGCAAUUACAGGCCAACAAAGAAAAUCAAUUCAGGUUGUUGUAGUUGCUGUUAACUGAUACCAUUGGAUUGGCAGAUGAAGGUCAAACUGCUGCCUUUUAACCAACGCUCAAAUUGCAUAUAGUUAGAAGUGCAGCAGUUGAAGAGAAUAACUUUACAUAAGAAGUAAUCUUACUUAUUUAUUGAUCUCUUAAACGAAAAAAAAAAGAGAACUUUCUCUUUAAGGAGGUUAUCUCACAAUCUCCAUAUAAAAUAACAAAAUCACAAACCCUACUUUACAAAAAAGGAAAAACUUGUACCUGGAGCGUUUCAAUAGCAGGGUACCAAACGAUUGACAUCGUAUUUAUAUGCGGAGGAACCGCAUAGUGCCUAUGUAGGAGAUAGGAGCACAUGUGGCCUACAGAAGAUACAAGAAGAUAUAUUUAUAAUGAUUACAAAAAUAUAUAAUAAGAAAAAGUCUACCUGUACACCCUAUUUGGGGCGUAUAUCCUACAACUUUAGAAUCAAUGGUUGAGAUUAAAUGGGAAUUAAGUGCAUGUAUCGUCUCACGCCGCCUUAUUUCCGUUCCACGUAUUUCCCUGCUCUCUCCAAAGCUCUCUCUCGCGCUCUCUGAGCCUCGCGCUCUCUGAGCUCUCGCUUCUCUCCAUAGACAGCAGCAUUCUCUCGCUCUCACCUCUCUCCAUCGGGCAGGAGCUCGCUUCUCUCGCCAUCAUUGUUUCGUUCCACACAUUCCCCUGUUGGUCUCUCCCAAGCUCUCUUUUGCACUCUGUAGGAAUCCCCGCUCCAACCUUCUUAGAGCUCUCUAUCGCCCUCGCCUCUAUCUAUUGGUAGGAGCUCGCCUUUUGUUUCUUGUAAGACGCUCCGCUCCGCUCUCCUGCCCAUCGUAGGACCUGCCACUCGUUCAUCCACUCAUAGGCACCUGAAAUUGGAGACGAUUUUCGACCUCUCGACCAUAACACUUUAGACUCUUUUAAUUCUUGUUAUCUUAUUCUUUCAUUAUUUUUAUUUAAUAUAAAAUUUUAAAUUUUUAGGGUUUGAGUACCAUCUUCAUAUUCGCCUUUGCCAUGCCACUGUCUUCAUCACCGAGGAGUAUCAGAUUCAGUCAAUAUAAGAAAACUAUUUAGAUUCAAUUCUAUUGGUAUAUAUUAUUGUUGGUAGCAUUUAUAUAAAUUCAGGGUUUAAAAGUUACUACUUGUAUACCACAGUCAUACACACGCACACAGUGUGGUAUCCCUGGAGUUCAGCUGUUGAGGCUUGUCGACAGCUCUGGAGAGUGUCGAGACAAGUCUGAGUCACGUUGGUGCGAAUUAGAUGCUAAACGGACUCACUGCGACGCGAGAGCAGGGUGUGAGCAUUGCAAAUUGAAAAAAGGUUGUUUUCUGCCUGUUGUACCGGUACAACCAUCGAGUUGUAACCGGUACACUUCCUGUACUGGUACAGCCAUCGAGGUGUACCAGUACACUUUGCCAGAACCUGCGCAGCUGCUCUCAGGUUGCCAUUUGUACCGAUACAAAUGCCCGUGUACCGGUACACAGGGUAGGUGAGGGGCAAAUUGGUCUUUGCCAUGCCUCGUAUCACCCUUUUCCCCCAGCUAUAUACAGGUGUGAGGAGAGCUAAGAGAGCUUAUUUUCCCUACUUCCUUCCCUCUCUCUCUCUAGCUUGACUGAUUGUGGAGGAGCUCGGGUGGUGUUGGAGUUUCGUCGACGUCGCGCCGCGGUGCCAUUUGAGGGUGUCUUCGUCGUCGUAGCGCUGCGGGGAGGCCGAGCGAGGGUGCGUUUCCGCCGUUCUUGACGCCGUACCGGAUUGGGAGUAGCUUUUGAGGUGGGUUAAUCGUCGGUUUGUCUUCUAAGUGUAUAGAGAUAGUCGGCAUGUGUCGUUGCAGUUGUUUUUACAUAUCCUAUUUCCUCGAUUCAUGAAUUUGGUGUUUCUUUUACAAAAAUCUGAAUUGGAGCCUAGUGUUACUAAAUCUACUUGCACAUGUUGGACUUAGAUAUAACUUAGGAGAAAACCUACGAUUCGAACCUGUCACAUGCUUAAACUACCGGAUUUAGCUCUAGGAGCCGUUGUUAUUUUGUAUCGCCGCAGUAUCGGCGUGGUGGAUACUCGAGGUAGUUUAGAUUUCAGUUACGCUCGUGCUGAAAUGCCGAGUGUAUUUUUACAGUAGCUUUCAGACUGUUCCGGACUAUUGGGUGCCGUCGGGGUUCACGGUGGACCCAUAACGCCAUUUUGGCGUCAGAUUGUGCCAAGGGCACGUGACCUGUUGGUUGUUAGACCAGUUGGACCUGAUUUACUUGACUUUGGCUUGUGAGAGCCUGUUUGAACUCGACAGAAAUACGCUGCAUACUCGGUUGGGUAGCUCCCACGAGUGCCACUCCGGAGACGAGCGUUGUACUUUCGCGUUGGUGUCGUUCGUGCAGGUUGGACUUGCUCUCCACGGACCGCUUAGUGUGGAGGUAGCUGUAUAGUCGCAACCGGGCGGGACGGGUGUGUUCACAGUCCCAGGGACGGGUAGGCUUACAGUCCUAGUUGGAUUGGGUCAGGAUUGACAUUUCCUACAGUUGUUUAGUGUAGAGCAUGAUAGUGUAAUGAUUUGUAGCUGUAGAUUUCCUUCUAAUAUUUUUCUACUAUCUUUGCUCCCUUCUGUACACUUGGUGGGUGGACCGACGAUGUUGAGGGCGGUAUCCACUAAGGACUACUUGUUUUUACAGUAGUUCUCACGCCCAGUUGUUACCCUAUUUUUGCAGAGCCUGCUGUUCCGGCUGCUGCUUCCUUGGAGACUAAUCGUGGCACGGGCGUUGCCAGUUAGAGCCCUUCCCAGUUGCUGCUGUUCGAGAGGUUACCAGCUGCAGGUAGUGUUAGUUUUUGAGUUUCUUAUACAUACUGGUUGUAUCUCGCUGAGCGAGCUUUUUUUAUACCUGGAUGUAUGUAUGUAUAUGGAACUUGUUCCUAUUUAUACCAAUUUUAUCCGAACAGCUCUAUGCUACUGGUUGUAGUAUUGUAUUUGUUACAGGUACAGCUACGCUUCGUAUACAGGAAAAAUUCCUUUGUGUAUGGUGGAUUUGUCGGCGGGCCCGGGGAACGUGUAAUCCAGGGCGUGACACACACUGUUUAUACAUCAUGCAUUUGAUUAAAUUUUGUUCGGUUUAGGAUAAGAAAUAUGUAUUCAUUAUAUUAGAAAUAUACAUUAUUACGACAUAAUAGAACAGUGCUGUGGGGUUUUAAAUUUUAUUUGUUUGAAUAUGAAACAUGUAUUCAUUACAAAUAUACACUCCUAAGGAUUGGUAGGACAGUACUAUACAAAUUUACUGAUACAUAUUAUUUUGUUUGUAUCUAUAUAAUUCAAAAUUUAGGAUUAGGGUUUAGAAAUUUUCACUUAUAUACCACAGUCAUAUACACACACGUAAGAUUUAUAGCUGAUGCACAUGAUUAAGUUUUAUUCAUUUGAAUAAAAAACACGUAUUUAUUGCAAAUAUACACUCUUACAAAUUAGUAGAAUGGUACUAUGAGAUUUUUAGGAGUUACUUUGCCACACUGGUUGAAACGGAACAUACUACUUGUACACUCCUAUGAAUAAUUAUUUGGUUUGUAUUCGUAGAAUUCAUACUUUAGGGUUAGGAUUUAGAAAUUGCUGCUAGUAUAGUACAAUUUUACACACACACAUAUAUAGUUUAUAAAUCAUGCAUAUGAUUAAAUAUUUGAUCGUUUGAAUAUGAAUACAUAUUUAUUACAAAUUUACACUCUUAGAGCAUAAUAGGACAGUCUUAUUAGGUUUUAAUAUUUGUUCAUUUGAAUAUGAACGUGUAUUCGUUACAAAUUUACACUCUUAGUGCAUAAUAGAGCAGUUUUAUGAGGUUUUAGUUUUUGUUCAUUUGAAUGUAAAUAUGUUGUUGUAAAUUUACACUUCUAGAGCAUAAUACAAUAGUCUUAUGAGGUUGUGAACAUGUAUUCGUUACAAAUUUACACUAUUAGGACAUAGUAGAGCAGUCUUAUGAGGUUUUAAUUUUCCUUCAUUUGAAUGUGAACAUAUAUUCGUUGCAAAUUUGUGCGUGUAUGAUUGUGGUAUGCAAGUAGCAACUUUUAAACCCUAAAUCCUAAACCCUAACCUUAAACCCCGAAUUUAUAUAAUGCAACCAAAAGUAACAUAUAUCAACAGAAUUGAAUCUGAAUAGUUUUCUUAUAUUAACUAAAUAUGAUACUCCUCGGUGAUAAAGACAGCGGUAUGGCAAAGACGAAUGUGAAGAUGGUACUUAAACCCUAAAAAUGUAAAAUUUUAUAUUAAAUAAAAAAAAUGAAAGAAUAAGAUCACAGUAAUUAGAAGAGUGUAGAAGGUUGUGGCCGAGAGAUCAAAAAAUCGCCCCCAAUGAACGAGUGGCAGGUCCUACGACGGACAGGAGGGCGAAGCAGAGCAUCCUACAAGCAACGAGAAGCGAGCUCCUACUAAUAGAGAGAGGCAAGAGUGAUAGACAGCUCUGAGAAGAUUGGAGCAAGAAUUCCUGCAAAAUGUGAGAGAGAACUUGGGAGGAAGCAACAAAGGAAUAUGUGGAACGAAACAACGGCGGCGUGAGAAACAAGCUCCUGCCCGAUGGAGAGAGGCGAGAGUGAGAGAAUGCUCCUAUCUAUGGAGAGGCGAGAGCGAGAGAGAGAGAGCUCAAAGAGCGCGAGGCUCAGAGAGCACAAGAGAGAGAGCUUUGGAGAGAGCAGAGGAAUGCGUGGAACCGAAAUAAUACACUCACUUAAUUCCCGUUUAAUCUCAACCACCGAUUCUAAAGUUGUAGGAUGUACACCCCAAACAGGGGUGUACAGGUAGGCUUUUCCAAUAAAUAUGAUUGAAAACAAAGGAAUCGUAGAGAAAAAUUCUAACAAAUACAAAAAGCAAGGCUAGAACACUUCUAGGAGUUUAUUUCCGCAUCAUUUCUAGCGAGGGAGAAAUUCGAAUCGAUGAUUGGCACAAUUAAACAUAAUUUUAGCUAUUUAAACUUUCUAUAAAUUGAAUUUUACGAUUCUUAAAUAUCAUUCGUAUAAUGAUCAAAUGGUCUCAAUUCAGUUUCUUUAGAUACUGAAAAUUGUUAAUUUUGACACUACCCGAAUACUAAGCAAAUGAUGCUGUAAAAUCGUCUAAUGCGAAACCAAGAGUCUAACUAGUUUAGAUCAAAUUUAACAGCAUGAAUCGUCGAUUUAUAUAUUCUAUUGCCAGAAAUAGAAGUUCAAAGGCACGAUUAAAGUAAAUUGAAGUUAGGUUACCUAAAUGAAAUUUCAAUUAAAGUUUUGCGACCAAUGUGUAAACUUUAGCCCUAAACUUGUAAGAGUUCCAACAUAACACAUUGGUACAACAUUGGAAAAUGCUUGAGGUGCUUCCUACAGAAAGUGCCUGUUAAAAAAAGAUGUAACAAGAGAUACAUAUUGUACACACAACAUAGGUUUCCGAGAGUCACAUGUUACCGAGUAGAACUAAGUUGAGAAAAAGAAAUCGGUUUGUGCAAGCAGUCCGAUCUCUGCGGCUGUACAAUUCUGCAUCACAAACAACAAUCGAUGAGCAACCUCACAUAAAAAUGCUCAAGAGCCUCUUCUUUCUCACUUCCAUCUUAAUUAUUACCUCUUCCGCCGUUUGGACUCCUGCGAAAGAAUUGCCAAAAACAAGAUGAGGAACCAAACCACCGUAUUCAAUCCAUUAAACUACUUCAAUAGCAACCAACUCCAUCAUGCAACUAAAAAAGAUGAAUUUCAUGGGGAUUUUAACACCUAAUAUUAUUCGAGCGGCAAACUAAUUGAACUUGAUCACUGACAUAGCUGCUUCUUAGGAAAGUAUUUUCACAAACCAUGUCAUAAGAAAGUACACGAAGAUGAUUAACUGACCUGCAUUAAUCAGGUAAAUAAUACCAAAAAUACGACUCAACAUGAGAUACAAUCAGAGAAUGUUCGACUCACUCAUCCAGCUUAAUGAAUGGUGAAAUUACAAGUGUAACUGAUAUGAUUCUAUUUCGCUUAACAGCUUCAUAAAGAGGAUCCAUCAAAGCUAUCAAAAGUUGGCUAUGGCUUUAUCCAGUGUGAAAUCAGAGAAUUAAAAAAAACAUGAAUAUGCCAAAGAGGAAUAUCAAAAUGCAUGAGACAGACUGGUUGCUGAAAACCAAGAAAGGACACAUGGCAACAAGCUUGUAGAAUCAGAUGCUAAGAUCCUUUUUUUUACUUUUUGAUAGAGAGUUUUCUUAUAAAUGGCAACACAAGCGCCUGAUUGAUGUAUGGAUCUAAUAUUCCAAAUCCAAGGUAUUAUACACAUUUUACUAUACUAUUUUGAUGCAAGUUGGUUCCAGUAGUAGAUAGUCAUCUAAAAGUAUGAAAGCAAUGAACAAUUUCAUUGUCCUAAUCCUGAUUUCUAAACUCAAUUAGGACAACAAAGUGGAAUGAUUCAUGGAAAUAUAAAUUGCCCCUAUAUCUCACUACUUUUCUGUCUAAAUCUCAUGUGCUGAAAUUUGUAAGUUGUAACCUCAAUAUGAACCUGAACUUUUGAAUCUGAGCCAUUUAACUAAUUUAUCAAAGUAUAAAUUGGUCUAAGGAUGCUAGGCACAAUUAGCAUGCUUUAAAGUUUAGCCGUUGAACAUAUGCAUACGUCUCAUUGACUAGAUCACUAAAUUAUAAAUUUUCAUGGCAUAUAUCAUUUAAUGAUUGCAUUGUUAUAUUAAAGUCUCUCUUCUGUGACCUUCCAAUUGUAACCUCUAUGGCACUUGACUAUGCAUGUUGAGACAGAUCUGUAAGUUUUGUUUUCUUGAUCAAGUUUGGCAACUACAAUUAAACAUUGAUCUUCCUCAGUUAUGUCAAGCAUUCGGCGCUAGUUUAUAAUCCUUUAUUUCAUUCCUCGCAAACAAAUUGUUGAUUAUCUUGCUACGAGCCGAAUUCUGUACCCCUUGACCCGGUCAAAGAUUUUUCUAGAGAAGCGUGCAGGGAUUUGAUACGGCUACACGUGAUGACCCUCGAAGUUUGCGCCAUUCAACAAAUCAAGCGAUUCGGCUGAUGAGGGAUCGGAUCAGCCAAGUUCGAAACCUCCUACUGUAGAAUUACUUCGGCUGAAUGAACCGAAUCAAGAAUUGCACAAUGUCUUUGGGUCGGCUAAUGAGCCGAAUGCCCUUUUAUAUAUAUUAUCUUAAAAUUCGGAACAAGUACAAAAGAAUGCCGAUACAGCUUACAUAAAAUCUACCUUAAAACUACUCCUAAUAAAAGCGAUAAAUGCAGAAAGAAAUGAUUACAGGUAGACUACUCCUAAGAAAAGCGAAGAAAAUGCAUAGAAUUGAAAAGUGGUCUUCUGUUCCUAGGGAAAAAGAUCCCUCUUCCAGGCGUUACCCGCCUAUUUAUGCUCCGCGCAUUGUUAUUCAGUUAUUUACACGAUCGGCCACUUCCCUAAUUUCGUGGGCCACUAUAAGCCGAUCUCAACCGCUCAAACCGCUUGCGGUUGGUUACCAUUUGUUCUUUGCUCCCGGUGCACCAAAUGUCUAGCCCUGGAGUUUCUGGCUGUACUGUGCACCGUUUUACCACGUGGCGCCAAUUUAUUGGCACCAACAUAUCUUUAUAGAUAUAUUCAGAUCUACGUAUGUUGAACAGAUGAAAAAGAUAAGUGCUAUCGUAGAUUACUGUGAUUUGUUCAGUUGUACACUAAUCAUUGCUACUUUUUGGAGCUUCACGUCCACAUGUUGCUAUGUAUGACUAGCCAAUAUCAUUAAGGCAGUAAAAAUAUAUGAAGACCCCCUUACCUAUUUGGCUAUUCUGAAACAACCUUCUCAACUUUAAUUUUUUGGAUUGACACCCCCUCAAUUUUGAUUUUCUGCAUAUUGGUGAUUUUUAUCAAGCAAAUUGGGGAUUGUAUCAAAUCAAAUGGUUUUAAUCACUUUUAAGCAAAUAAAACUAGAACAAUUGACAGCUAAUACUAAUGGACCCACUAUUUUUUUUUUAAAAAAAAACAACCAACUAGAAAAGCUCUUUUCCUUUUAUUUUUUGGGUGGGGGUGGGGGAGGUGGGGGGAGGUAGGGGGCGGCACUAAACCUUGAACCCAUAAAAAUUUACCUAUCGAGUACUGUGAGGAUAACUCAGCCAAUAGUUUCAUGAUUUUACAAAGCAAUUUGUCGUCUAAGAUUUUACACAACUCAAGAAGAAUUUGCUCUCCUCAUAAUAUGAAGAGAAUAUAUGAUAUAUUACUGAACUAAAUGCAAUUUAGUGCUAGAAUAUAGGUCCAUCUGGACAUGGCUAUGGAUAUGACCUUAGAAGGUGCAUGACCUAUUAGACAUGAGAGGAUUUUUUCUUUUUUUCUUUUCUUUGUAAGAGGGUUUUUAUUUUUGAUCAUUCAACAAUGUAUGUGCUUUGUCACUUGACUCACUUCAAAGUUGUAUAUCUGUAACCAUUGUUAUCAUUUUGAGAUUCAGAUCCUAUGAUAGAGAUUCAGAUCCUAGGAUAGACAAUCAUGUCCUUGAAGCAGGUAGUAAAGAAAAGUGUUAAACAGAAGAGCAGAAGAAGUAAGGGAUCAAUUGGUGCAGGAGAGUAGAAGCACUAAGAAGAAGAAAUAAAGAAUAGCAGCAGAAAUAAUAAAAAAAACAAGCAUCUAAACCACUUUUUAGCUAUGAAAUUUCACGUCGUUCCCAUAUCGGACACACAUCGGAUACUGCUACAUACCAUAGUUAGUUAAUUCGGAUUCGGCAAAAAUUCGGUACGGAUAUAAUUCGGAUAGAAUUCGUCUUCUAAUUUUUAAAUUCGUUGAAAAAUACGGCUAAAAAACGGAUUCAUCAAUUAUUCGGAUACGUGAUUUAUACGGAUAUUAUACAUUUACUAAUUAAAAAUUCGGGAUAAAAAAUUCGGCUAUUAAAUUAAAUUUUUUUCUCUCAAGAUUUAUGCUAUUAGCAUAAAUAUUCAUAUCUUUUAAAAAUAUAAGAAUAAAUAGCUACAAAAUUAAGCUUAUUAAGUAAAAAUUCGAAAAGAAAUUUUUUUUUUUUUUUUGGUCUUAGGCGAGGUGUUUGGAAAGAUUUUUUUAUUUUUUCUUUGUGUAUUUUACUAUUUUGGGCCAGCCGGCCCAAGAGCCCAUGCGGGAGCGCAGGCAGGUGCGGGCGGCGCGGGCAGGCGCGCAGGCAGGCGCGGGCAGUGCGGGCCUGCGGGCUUGAUCCGUUUUUUUGGACCGAAUAAUUCGGCUCGCCGUAUAAUACGCGAAUACGUAUUUUUAGUCAAAAAAUCCCCUUUUUUUCUGAAUUUUUCCCAAAAAUUCGAAAAUGGCCGUUUAAUUCAGAUUUUCAAAAAUUCGCGAAUAAUUCGCGAAUAAUUCGCGAAUUAACUAACUAUGCUACAUACUCCAUACAUGUCCGACACGGGACUGAAGUACCCGACAUUUUUAAAAGUAAAAAAUAUCGGAUACUGCUCGGAUACGGGUAGGGGAUACAGGGGGAUACGGCUGGAUCCUUUUUUGGCCUAAAAUGAUCAAAACUCCAAAUUUUUUGUAAAGCCCAAAUCCUAGCCCGUUGGAAAUAAGGAAAAAAAGUGAGGGACAUGGCAAUCUCUCUUCAAUUCAUCAUUUUUUUUAUCUUUUUGUUCUUGGUUGGUGGAAGGUGCUCUCUUGCUAAUUCUAACUCCACACAAUAUUAAGCUAUGGUUCAGCCUUUUAUGGCUUAGCUUUUACCUUCUUUAGUCUAAUUUGCCAACCUAGCACUAAUCAAUAAGGACUAAAGAGUGAUUUUUUUCGCUCCUUUUAAAGUAUUAGCAUAUUUUCUCUUAUUACUAUUUAUAUAUUAGAAUCUAAUACAAUUUGAAUGUAUUAGAAAACAGACAUAUAUGAUGAAUGGCUAAUCUUCUAAUUUGUGCGACUAAAUAUCUAUAGUUUGAAAGGGACUGACUAUUGUUGACCUGGUACUCGCUCUGGUACCGGUUGUUGGGAUUCUGCACAGAAGCAUCAAAUCAGAUUUUUUUACCAUAAGCCUGUCUCCUCGGUAAGAGCUGAUACAACCACAAACGAAAGAAAAACAACUAGGAAAUACGGACGAAAUAAAAUUCAUUAACCAAAAGAAGAAUUACACGACUCCUCUACUACACAGAGAAGCUUAAACCGAGCCCUCUUUCUGAAUCUCUCUCACCCUUCUUUCGUCUUCUCAAAUCCAGAAGACUUCUCUCUUAUUCUAUGCGCCUAUACACAAAGCAUACCAAUGACUCACGGCCACGAAAGCCGCAAACGUCCUCUUGCACCCAUGCACUAGGUGCAUCCAAAAUCUACUACAAAUCUAAGCAACUCCUAACACUCUCCACCUUGGUUUGAUUUGUAGUCUUUAACUGCUACGUAGAGCUCACCACGCAAGCUCCAACUUGAGCUUGUCUCCUUCGUUUGAUGUCAAGCAUCCACAGCUCCAUCUUAAGCGACUUACCACGGACUUAAACGAAAUCGCUUUCGCUUGUCUAGCCCGUGCAGUACUCGCCUUCCUUAGCGAAGUGAGAAAGCCUACCUCUCUACUUGCUAAGUUAGGACCUACUCGUCCUAGACUAAAUACAAGAGAGAGCGAGAGUUGAAGAAAACUCUUCUAUUACUUUGAAGUAGAGGAUUACAAAAUGAAGAUUCUAAGUUGACGGGGUGGAGGCCAUAUCUAUUUAAAGGCCACUCGCCGCCCAUAAAGCAAAUGAAAAGGCGCCGCAAAGCUACAAGGCAAAAGAGGCUACGAGCUCCCAAGAGUUCUAAUAAAUACACCUUCUAGAAACCUAGAAACUCUAAGAGGCUCUUGACUCUUCGGCACUCGCCCCAUCAAUCUCGAGAUCCGCAAAGAUGCUUCUAGAAAAUUAGGCAAAACCUCCGACAGAUAUCCCCUUUGGAGUUUGAGAGGUUUGCAAAGGGAAAUCUUGGAGAAAAUUUCUAAGUCUUGACAGACUGCACCUCCGCGAUCUUUUGCAACUCAAACUGUUUUUGCUCCCGUUCUAACUGUGCUCCUGUUCAAAAUGUGUAAGUUUCCUCACUUGUUCGCCUCGCGUAACCAAUCUCAAUUUCGGACCCUCAUAGCUUCGCUUGAAGGCAAAAACUGGUAUCCCUUCAAGUCCAAUGUGCCCAACGAGAUCAUAUUGUGCUUUAACAUCAAUCGCUCCGAACGAUAUGUAACACUAUGCUCUAACAUCAAUCUUCUGCAAUGAUCCGUAAUCUAGUGCUUUCAUGUUGAUCUCUCCCGAGAUUGGUGACCCUAUGCUCUUAUGUUGAUCUCUCCCACGGAUCGAAAAACCUUGAGCUCUAAUACCAAUUGUUAGAAAUUUGGUACUCGCUCUGAUAUCAAAUUUUGAGAAUCUGCAACUCAGUUUGGUACCACCUACUGUGACCCGGUACUCACGCCGGUACAGAUUGUUGGGAUUCCGCAACGCAAGCAUCAAAUCAAGUUUUUACUUAUAAAUCCAUCUCCUCGGCAAAAGAUGUUAUAACCAUAAAAGAGAGAAAACCAACCAAAAAAUAUCGAGUGAAAUAAGAUUCACUACCCAAAAGAAAAAUGACACCUGACUCCUCUUCUACACAAAAAAGCUUUAACCAAGCCCUUUUUCUGAAUCUCUCUCAACCUUCUCUCGUUAUUUAUAAAUCCAGAAGACUUCUCUCUCAUCCUAUGCACCUAUGCACAAGAUAUACCAAUAUCCCACGGCCACAAAAACCACACAUCCUAUUGCACCCAUGCACUAGGUGCAUCUAGAAUCAUGAAUAUCUUAGCCAUGCCAUGUAGGUGUGGCUAAGCCGUACCACCACCAAUGCACAAGUGUUCUCUCACAUGCAUAUAUAUGUUCACCUAUAACAUACUCCAAUUCUAGUUCAAUUAGAUUUCUACUAUAAUUAAUAUUUAAAUCCUAAUCAAUUUAACUUCAACAGAUUUAAAUAUAUUUCCUAAUCUAACUAGGAUUCUACUACAAAUCUAACCAAAUCCUAACUAAGGCAUCUUAAUCAACAAUCAACACCAUUAAAAAUGAUCUCAGGUAUUUGAACUUUCUAGGAACCAAAUUUUGUAAUCUUUGGGAAUUACUUUACAUAAUCAAUAUAAAAGGAAACCAACAUUCAUUGUCUUUCUCUUAUUUAUAUACUCUUUUAUUAGUAGAUUAGGCACUCAAUGAUAAAAAUGAUGUGGAACCUAAAGAUGGGUAAAGCGCAAUUUACUUAAAAAAGAAUGUUUUCCAUGCAUGGGGUUAUAGGUGUACGGUUUCUAACCUUGCUCAACCGGGAAACGGGCUUUAUGGCAGUUUUCAACAAAUAAUAGACCAAAUAGCAUAACAGGUCAAAACAGCAAAAUGAACUAUUGUAGUUAAAACACUUCGUUUUUUUUAAAUUUUCCUAACCUUUUACUCUUCUUCUAAUAUUUUCCUUAUUGUUUAUGAUAUUAUUUCACUUCGAUCAUGAAUUCCCAUUACUAUUACACCAAAAAAGUGGGCAUCUGCUUCGGUCUAUCACAGCACGCCCUCCAAAUACCAGUAGUUAGAGCAUUAUUACAUAAAUAGAUUAAUUCAUUACAAAAAAACUGAGAAGCUAUCCAACAGCUCCUAUAAGAAAAGAACCAGAGUGAAAAUAUUCAUGAGCAAGGACUCCGUGAGAUUGGAGAGAGAAUGGAAGAGGGAGGACGAAUAGGGAGGAACAGAUGGAAGACAAGCGAGCAGGAGGGAGGGAGGGGCAUUUUGGAGAUUUUCAAAAAACAAUAUGGCCCAAGCUGCUCAAACGAAGAGUGACCAGCGGUCGCUAUGUAGGAAAUAAGUGGAUUAGUUUACUUGCAAAAUAGGCAUCAUAGAGACAGAAAAUAUUGAACAACAAAAUCAAAUGUGGUGACAUUUAAUUAGAUAUUUUAAGCAUACUAAAUGAGCAGGCAUUCUGAAGAUGCACAUGACAACGAGUGUACAAUGUUAUAUCGUAUUCAUAUUCAUAUCUACAUUAUAUUCUCACCUUAGGCUCGGAAAGUGGUGAGACGGGGAAAGAAUUUGCUCUCUUUGGAUCAUCAUCAGAGGAACAAUCUGAACAGAGAAAGUGCUCUAACAUUUUUGCUUGUUCAAUAGUCAUGCCCAUGCAAGAAGGAUGAAACCUGUAAUCAUGGUGUAGAAGAAUUAUGAUAUCAUAAAGCUGCUAGGGACCAUUAGAAAACAUGAAUUCUAUAGAGACGCAUAAAAAGAUCAGAACACAAUGAAAAGCUUAUACACUAUCUUAAAUCAACGAUAAUAGGGGCAACGUAAAAGCAAGCUAGUUUGAGGGAGACAAUCAGCAAAUUUAAACAUAUGGCACGAUGGUGCAAGCCAGAAGCAUAAAAGAUCAACCAAAAGACAACCAUAAGUUAUUCCAAGCAUCCAGGAAAUAAGCAAAACAAGCAGAUUCAUGCAUGUAGCAUUUCCAAAAUGCAGUGCUGCAAUAAAUAGUAAAAAAUAGAAAAAAAAAUGCCUGAAUGUUUUCAUAAAACCGGUAUACUUCACCUGCAACAGAACCAGUGGACAGUAUGUGUGCUGAAAUAUUGAUUAGCUUAGCUUGCUAAGUCUCUACUAUGUUUUACAACCAUGAUCUGCCCAGAUUGACAUUUGCACUAAUUUCUGGGGACUGAAGUGACGAGUUGCAGAUUAAUUACUUGCUGUGUGAUGGUAGAUGUUUAACAACAUGGUUUCAGUUACAUAAUUCCAACAAAAUUUGACAGUCUAAAAAUUGAAAUAGACUUUAAACUGUCAUAACGAAUCAAAACCUAGGACUAUAUUGCGAAUUUCAAGAGUUAAAGGAGUUUUCUGCAAAACUCAGCAGCACGCACAAUGGUGUUGAGGGCCCUGAGGGUCGGUUGUGGAGCGGCCACGGAACAGAGUGAAGAAUGAAGACAGAAGAUGAAGAGGUACCACGUAUACGAAGAAAUAUGGACUAACAGAUAGAUAACAAGGAGAGAAGAAUUAAGAAGAAGAAACCAGGCUUUACCUCAGCAAUCCAAAAAACAGAGAGAGAAAGAGACUGCAUAUAUCAAGAAAUGUUGGUCCAAGAUAUGUAAAGAAGUCCACUUAUAACUUCCACUGGACAUGUAGAUCAAUAUUAAACAGACUUACAUAUUAAGCUCUUCCAAAGUCACACGAAUCUUUGGAAUGCUCUCUUGGAUGUCAAGUUGCUAUUCCCCAAAGUUGGUCAUUUGGAGAAGAAAAGCCUAAUCAAAACUCACAAUUUACUGAAUUCGGUUAAGCUGUGAGAAGUUCAAACAUUGGGAGACUUUCUUUGUUGAUUCCAGCCCAUUAACCUAAACUCGCCAUUACUCCGCAGACUCAAAUAGAGAGAAGUAAAUAAGAUGAAUCAAAAUAUGAAUCAACUAACUGUGCCUAACCUAACCUACAUCUAGGGGUGCAAAUUGCAUACACACCCCAGUGAAGGCAAUUCUGACAACCCCAAGUCAGUCUCUAAAUGGAGACGCUCACAUGGCACUAGCUUCAAAUGGUGGGUUUCACCUAAUACAGCAGUGGUUAAGUUAAAAAUAUUAAUAUAUCAUCUACAUAUUGGAUCACAUACAUGUUAGUUCCAAAUAUUAAUAUAUCGUCUACAUACAAGCACAUUAUUACUAGGGGUGGAAACGAGCCGAGCUCGAGCGAGCUUACCUCAGCUCAAGCUAGGCUUGAAAUUAAUUUCGAGCCUAAAUUUAGGCUCAAGCUUGGCUUGAAAUUAAUUCGAGCCGAGCUCGAGCGAGCCUAACUUCGAGUCAAGCGAGCUCGAGCCCUAAACGAGCUGCUUGAAAUUCUUAACAUCAUGCAAUCUAUACUUUAAUUUUUAUAAAAUAUUAUCUAAAAUUUGAUAUAAAAAAUAUCUAAUAGUUUAACAUAUAAAAUAAAUGCAUGAAAUACAAUAUUACAAUACUAAAAUAAUUAGGAAAAGCGACUCUGCGAGGAAGGGAAAAAGAGAGAAAGAGGGUAAUUAGAGUAGGAUUUUGCUGGUUUGGUUUUGUGGGCCCAAUAAUCUAAAUUCUAUAUACAUAUAAUUAAAAUACAUAAUAUAUAUUAUUUUAUAUAAUUAAAAUAUAUAUUAUAUAUAAUUAUAUAUAUAGAGAGUUUGGUUACUAUAUAUACUUUUAUGAGUAUAAACCCCUUUAUACUUAUAAAUUUUCAGCCGUUGGAUGUGCGAUUAGAAUGAUAGUGGUCCUCUAAGAUUGAGUGAAUGGUUCGUUGAAUAGUAUGAUUUAACGGAUGAAAAUGGCUAAAGGGAUAGAUCUAACAGCAGAAAACUCGAUAGCACCAAAUGCUUGGUACUAUCGAUAGUAUAAUAGCCGAACUCUAUAUAGAUAUAUAUAAGCAGAUCUAACGGCAAAAAACUCAAUAGUACAAAGCGCUUAGUACUAUAGAUAGUAUAGAUAGUAUAGUAGCCGGACUAUAUAUAUAUAUAGAGAGAGAGAGAGAGAGUCCGACUACUAUAUUAUCGAUAGUACUAAAUGCUUGGUACUAUCGAAUUUUAUGCCGUUAGAUCAUAUUAUUCAACUAACCACCCACUCAACCCUAGAGGAUCACUGUCAUUUUAACCGCACAUUCCUUCAUCCAAAGGUCGAAAACCUAAUAGCAAGUGGUUGGUACUAUUAAUAGUAUAGUAGACUAUAUAUAUAUGUAUAUAUAUUUCGAGCUUUUCCAGCUUAAUUCGAGCGAGCCGAUUAAUACUCAAGCUCGACUUGAAAUUAAUUUCGAGCCUAAAUUUAGGCUCAAGCUUGCUUGAAAUUAAUUCGAGCCGAGCUUGAGCGAGCCAAAUAUCGAGCCGAACACGAGUCGAACACGAGCUGGCUCGCUCAUUUGCCAGCCCUAAUUAUUACAACUUGAUCACCUAUUCUUUUACUAUGAACACAUUCAAUAGACAUAUUAGUUUCAAAUCCAUUCGAAAUUAUAAAAUUAUCAAAUUUUUCAUGCCAUUGUUUAGGAGCUUGCUUAAGGCCAUAUAAAGAUCGGCUUAAUUUGCAUACUUUAUUUUCUUGGUCGGGCAUUAUAAAUCCUUCUAGUUGCUCCAAAUAGAUUUCUUCUACUAAUUCUCUAUUUAAAAUUGCGGUUUUAACAUUUAUUUGAUGUAUAAUUAAUUUAUGAAUUGAUGCUAGAGCUAAUAGUGUUCCAAUUGUUGUAGUUCUAGCUACUGUAGCAUAAACGUCAAAAUAUCAACUCCAGAAUUCUGGGUAAAUCCCUUGGCUACUAAUGUAACUUUAUAUUUUUCUACAGUAUUAUUUGAUCUUAAUUUCUUGGCCAAUUUGCAUAAAAAAUCCACAAAUUUUGAGCUUUUGCAAAACUGGACCGCCUUUUUUGAUUUUGCAGAUUCGAUCUAAAUUUUCAGCAAACUGACCAAAAUACCCUUAUUAUUUUUUCUCUCUCCUCUUUUUUUUCUCUCGUUCAUUUUUUUUCUCUCUCCGAAGAAGGCAGCAGAGGCAGCGGCGGAAAUGGCCCACCUCGCCUCUCACCCUCAUGCCCUCGCCCUCGCCCUCGCCCUCGCCCGCGCAUCGCCUUUCUCACCUCCGACCCCGCCGAGGCCGUGCCAUGACUCUUUUUUUCUCCUUCUUCGACCCUCCUCCACCGUCUCCGACGACGACGCCUCUCUCGCCCUUCCCUGCCAUUCUCUUCCUCUCCCUCUGCCUCUUCCUCUGCCUCCUCCGCCGCCUCCGACGACGACGCUUCUCCGCCGACGCCAACGCCGCGGAGGUCGCUGUGGCGCCACAGCCUCGGAGCGGGGGGUCCUUAGUUGCGGCGUCGCCAACGCCGUGGCCGUUAGCGGAGAGGCAUGACCAAAAAAAAUUAUAGAAAAAGGAAGAAGAAAAAAAUAAAGACCAAACAUUAUAUAAGGAAGAUGAAGAUAAAAUUACACUAUUUAAAAAAAAAUUUGCACUGUUUUAAAUGAAAGUUGCACUCUUUAAGACAGAAAUUACACUCUUUGAGAUCAGAUUUACACUCUUUAGGACAAAGUUGCACUCUUUAAGUGAAAUUUACACCAUUUCUCUUUUUCUUCUUCUUUCUCAUCCUCUUUUCCCUCAUCCUUAUCCUUCUCCACCCCAGUGAAAAGGGUAGGAAGGGCGGUAGCGACGCAGGAGCGAGCGCACGUCACCAACGACGUCAUCGCUGAACGCGCGGGCGCAAACCCCGCGGCGGAUGGCAUGGUCGUCCAAGUAUUAUCUCACAUCCCUCAAUAUUAACCAUGAUGAAUACAAUUUCCUCUUGGUAUUCAUCUUGCAUUGUAUGUAUCCCGAAUUUAAUAUAUUUGGAUUUGUUAACAUUGCCAUCAUAAGACACAAGAUAAGGAGAAAAACAAUGGCAUGGAAUAAGGUCUAAUUUCUCUAUGAAUUUUUUUGAAAUAAGGUCAUGAGAAAACUGAUGAUUAAUUUGUACUCGACAAGGAACACCAUCAAAUCUCAUAGUAGUUUGAAAAGAAGAAGUAAAAGCAAUAGAAUUUAUGUUUUGCAGAAGGGUAACAGAUUGAGAUAUAACAGGAGGCAACGGUGUGACAAGGAUGUUAGCGAGAAGUAGUGGGUAGUGAGGUUCAGAAUGAAUUAGGUUUUCAAGGAGUUGUUUGAUUUCGCAAAUUGUUGGUUAUUUGCGGCUUGAAGAGAUUGCAAAUCAGCUUCUAACUUUAUCAAAACAACUAUGAUAGAAAGCUAAAUUCUUCAAACAUUGAACUAAGGUCUACAUUUGCAGCGUUUUGAAAAUUAGUUUCUUGAUAAACUUUUGCUCUGAUACCAAAACUGAUGCAGGACAAAUUAGGAAAAAAACUCUAAUCUACCUUGCAAGUGAUGAGCCCAAAAUCAAUUUAAAACCAAAUUUAGAAUUUUCUAGGAAUUUUAGAUUAAUUUUCAUAUUUUUUUUAAUUUAUAAAAAAUUAAUGAAUUUAAAUCAAUUUUUGAAAUUAAAAAAGGAAAAAUAUAAAAAGUAGUAUGGCUUUAGCAAGAAGGUUCCGACAAUUUUUUUUAUUUUGUACUUUCUUUAAAAGAAAAUUAAAAGACUAUCGAAGAAAUAGCCAAUAAUAGAGAAUCAAAUUUACAAGAAGCAUAAGAGAAAAAUAGAAGAAAGGAGAAAAGAUGAGGAAGAGAAGAUAGAAUCUUUUAGAAAGAAGAAGAUUACCAGCAUACACGGCAAGGGGGGAGAAAAUACCACGGCCGCAGUCAAAUCAUAAACACCAAACUAAUUCAUCAUAACUCUUCUCUAAAUUACCAGCAUAGGCUAUAUUUAUACAUUCAAAAUAUAAUCGUAAUCUAAAACAAAUCCACGAUUUUAGGGAUCUCUUACUAAUUCGAAAAUAUCUAAAAAGACCUAAUUUAGAGAUCUACUCCACAUGAUAAAUCCAAAAAAUCUUUAAAAAGAAAAUAAAUUAACAAACAAAAUAAUUCCGAAAAUUAGAAAAAAUUGAAACCUAAACGACUCAAUCAACCCUAAUGCAAAAAUUGACUCAAAUAAAUAAAAGAUGACUCGACUGAACCCUCUUUUGAGUCUGGUUCCGCAUCAACUUCAACUUAAAAGCAGUUCACAAAAAAUUAGCACAAGAUAAAAUUGAUGCUAAUAACCAAGACAAGCAGCAAGCAAAAAGAUUACAAAUUAAUCGUUUGGUUUAAAAUUUAUAUAAAGAAAAAUUAAAUAAAAUAAUUUGUUUAUUUAUUAUUUGUUUCCUAGGAGAUCAAAAUAUAGUUGGAUCUUGGCCUCAAGUUGCCAUUGGUUCGGACACUAAUUAGAGGGAAUCUACGACAGCCGAGAUUUAGUUCUUUUUUUCCCUUUUUUGGUUUUUAAAUAUUAUAUAAUAUAUGUAAACAGCACAAAUAAUAUUACCAAGAAAGAUAUGACAAUAUUCGAAUUUUCUUUUAUCUAUCUAAAGAUUCCUGAAACCAAUUAGGAUAAUAUUCAACAGAAUAGUAGAUGAAAAAAUACCAAUUUAUCUAAACGUCAAAAAUUUAAUUUUCCUAAUUAGUAUAUGGGCUCAUCUACUUACAAAAUUAAUUAGGCUGCUUUAUUAUUCAAAUCCGACAGAGAGAAACUUAAAUAUUGUUUAAACCAAAACAUAAUGUAGGUAAGGGAGAGGAUUAGUUAAAUAAUGAGAGAACUCGAUAUAUAGCAGAGAUUCACCAACUUAGUGAUUUUGCUCGCAAAGCCCGUGCGAUGCCCGCCUUCCUACUCGAAGAUGGGAAAACCUGCCUUGAUCUUGCUAGUCUGGACAUACUCACCCUCAAAUACUAAGUGCAAGAAAGAGAGACGAGAGAGAGAAAGAUAGAAGAUCUGCGAAAAACUAAGUACUCUACUUAGAAACAAAAAUAACAAAUACACUCUCCCUCUUGUCAACUUUGGCGUCAGCCAUUCUCCUAUUUAUAGCCCUCUAGGAUACAAAGAAAACUACUUGCGUUAAUGCAAAGUGAACCCGCCCAUGCCCUUUGGGUUAACACAAGACCGUUUCUUGAUGCUUUAAUUCCUGGAGUUAAAAUAUGCUUCAUCUCCCACAGAAGCUUCUUGAACGUUGUCUCUUUGUUUGCCCGCUUUCAGUUUCACAAAUGUUCAAGGACAUAAGCCAGAAUUUUUCCAAGUUCCUAACAUUCUCCACAACCUACUGCGCAUAGCGCUGUGCUAAUCCCGGUCUGCGUAGUGCUGCUUGCAGUCCACCGUGCCUUCACACUCGUGCGGCCUCGAGCACCACUACUGCAAUCCGCUUUUACUCCCGCACCAGCCCCCAGUGCCUUGCCCCUCUGAGAACAAACACUUGUCAACUCAUUGUGCAGAGAAAUCUAUCAUCGAUCCCAAACCGUCGAGUGUUCUUGUCCUUCGCAACACGCACGCGCACACUCUCGAGCUACGGGCUUCCAUGGGUCCUCUCAGGCUUUUCUCGGCUUUGUGCUUAACAGAGCGACGCACCCCUCGAUUGGGUGCUAGUUGCUUCAGUAUCUCCAAAGACUUUAUAGCCUCUCCUCUGUUUAGGUCCUCCUCGAGGCCCACAUGAUAAGCAACCUUCUUGCACUUCACCUUCUCGUAAAGCUGCAGGGCUGUAAGGGUCUGAUUCUUCGUCGAUGAUUGGUCGCGCCCCUUUGCAUCCCAUGUAUCACUGUGCUCUCCCCCACGUUCGGUUUCACUCGCCUUCAGUGGCUUACCACAAUCACCCUUGGUCCGCACAUAUUCAGGCAAUUUCUCCGCCAACGUUAUCACCAAGUUCAGAUCCUUGACGCUUUGUCCCCAAGAGCUCCUUGUUCAUCCAUGGUUGAAGUUAGACCUGGCAAAUAGGCGGAUUGGGUAAUCCGCGAGCGGGUCAUUGUAUUCGCGGGUCAUAUAGGUAUAGGUAAAAUUUACCCAUAUUUUGAGUAAUCAACAUCUUUAUCCAUACCCGCCCACGGGCGGACGGGUGGUUAUGCAGAUAACCUGCAAGAUUUUCUUUUCUUUUUUGCUCCCAUUUAUAAAUACACUAAUUGAGAACCAAAUGAAGGCCUCCCCUUAUUUAGGAGGGUUGUAGGGCCCACAUAUAAUUUUUUAAUUUUUUAAAGUAUUAAUUGCACAUUGGGCCCCAACCUUUCCACUAUUUUUUUAUUUUGGUCCCUAAUCUUUUUUAAAAUUGAAUCUAAACUUUGAUUUCAAACUUAAAUUUUUUAUUUUGAUUUUGCUAUUUGAAUUUGCAUUCAAAAUUUGAAUUUGAAUUUUAAAUCUAAAUAUGUAAUUUAAAUUUUAAUUAAAAUUUAGACAAAUUAGGACAACUAGCUUUAAGCUAUCAAGUUGACUUAUUUUUUUUUUUAAUCAUGGCAAAUGCUUUAUUCCAUAAGAGGAGAUGCAAGAUAUUAGGCCAUUAGCAAGCUGCAUCUAAUGCAUAUUUUCUACUAUUUUUAAUAUGAAUUAUGAUAAGGCCUUUAACUAUAUAAUUAUGAUAGUCAAAUAUAAAUUAAGACUUUUAAAAUUGUGACUAUUGCCUCAUGGUGCUUGAUUGAUAAUGGCCUAAUUCGCACGCUAUUAUCUUAAUCUUGAGCUAGAGAAUUAAUUUUUUCCUAAUAUAUAAUAUUAGAAUAUUUAUUUUGGUAGUCGAACAUUUUNUCAAGACACCAAUUUGUUAAUUUAAAAAAAUUAAAAAAGAACUAUAUAAUUAUGAUAGUCAAAUAUAAAUUAAGACUUUUAAAAUUGUGACUAUUGCCUCAUGGUGCUUGAUUGAUAAUGUAAAUAGUUCUUUUUUAAUUUUUUUAAAUUAACAAAUUGGUGUCUUGAAAUGAGAGAAUUCAACUUUUGAAUUUCUUUUUUUGGAAGAUUUUUUUAUAUCAUUUUUUUCCUCCAGUUAAAUAAUAUUUUUUAGUUCAUGUGAGUGAUAUUUUGCUAAUUCGCACGCUAUUAUCUUAAUCUUGAGCUAGAGAAUUAAUUUUUUCCUAAUAUAUAAUAUUAGAAUAUUUAUUUUGGUAGUCGAACAUUUUUGCAGUAUAAAAAAUAUCUAUUUCAAUUUUCAAAUGCCUUUUAAUUAGUCUUAUUUUUAAGUGCUUCUGAUAACUGCUUAUUGAUUCCUUCAUUAACCUAAAAUUUAGGAAUCAAAUACUAUUAGUUGUAUCUGUAGUGAUAAAAGUUAAUGAGGUCUUUCUUUCAUCAUCAGCGACAACGAUGAGGAUGCUACCGCCAAUUCUACCAAAGAUAGUGUUUUCACUCCAAUUAAUCUUUUUAUAUUUUUUUUUGUAAAUUCUACGUUGAUGAUAAUAGAAAAAUAUUACGCAUUUUUUUAAUAUUACAAUGAUCUUUUUUUAUUUUAAACUGGUUUAUUUAUUUUACUUAUUUGGUUUAGAUACUUUCAGAAAGAAAUAUAGUUUAGUUUCAUUCUUUAAUUUUUAAUUGUUCAAUACUACCCGUCGCAUCGCGCGGGUUCCUUAACUAGUAUUUUUUAAAUGUAAACCACACACACACACAUAUAAUUUUUAAAAGCAUAACACUACUUGUUGUUUGAAAUAUGACAAUAUACGAUAACAAUAUAAAAUCUUAAAGCCGAUAAAUUAUAUAAUAUAGAAAUAUUUGCUCAUCCCAAAUUUUUAUGAUACAAAAUUAAUGAAGUUUCUUUGAUUAUAGAGUUAAUAUCAUAAAGAUUAUAUAUUUUUUUAAUUAAAAAAAUAUAUGCGGGUACUCUUGGGUACUCAUGGGUUGUCUAAAAUGCUCACAACUUAACGGAUACCCAUCCAUUUUACCAUAAUUUUUUGGGUAAGAAAAACAAGUAUCCGUAGCCACGAAUUUGCGGGUAAUCGGCGGGUAUCAGCGGGUACGGUUAGAGAUUGCCUGGGCUAGUUGAAGUCCAUCUAGGAAAAAGAAUAGCUGAUCCUCAUCGGCUAUGUUGGUGAUCACCAACAUUAACUUAGAGUAUUUCUGGACAUACUCCUUGAAUGUUCUCGUGUAUUUGAGCCGUCGAAGUUGCCUUUGCGCAAGAUAUUUGAAGUGCUCUUGGUAGAACUACACCGUGAGCUCGCACACAAAGUCCUCCCACGACUUCAGUUGGCAUUGGCCCUUCUCAGCCUUCGUCAAUUGGCAACGCCACCACAGCAUAGCGUCGUCAGUGAGGUGCAUGAAUGCAACCUAGACUUUUUCCUCCUCUUCGUCCAGCCGCAACGCCUUGAUGUAGCGCUCCAUAUGCCACAAGAUGUUGAUCGCCUUUUGAUCAAGCGUGCCCUUGCAUUCUUGAGGCUCAAGGACACGAACCUCUGGAGCAUACUGUAACACUCCAAUAGUCCCACAUCGGAUUGAAAAGGGGUUCUGAUUGGAAAUAUAAGAAGCUACGCAUCCUAAUAAUAAUAACUGGGCUUGAGCAUUUUGGGCCAGUGGCUUGGGCCCAACGAGUUAUUACUGCUAGCAAGUCGGGUCAUUACAUUUAGUAUCAGAGCUGAACACCAGCCGAAAGUGAGAACUAAGUGCUAUGCAGGAAAAAGUGCUACACCAUGGAUUUGAUGGUAGCCAUCUCAAUACAUUUAGUAUCAUAACUAAACACCAACCGGAAGUGUGAGAACUAAGUGCUAUGCAGGAAAAAGUGCUACACCAUGGAUUUGAGGGAGCCACCUCAUUAUAUUUAGUAUCAGAGCUGAACACCAGCUGGAAGUGUGAGAACUAAGUGCUAUGCGAAAAAAAGUGCUACACUAUGGAUUUGAUGGGAGCCACCUCUAGAAUUUCACAUCUCCUGGUAAUUAUAGUCUAUAUGUCUGUGAUUGAGUUUGAACUUGAUGAUAACGUCAGGGACUAAACGGGGAGGGGGUGUAAGAAUGUAACACUCCAAUAGUCCUACAUUGAAUUGGAAAAGGGUUCUUAUUAGAAAUAUAAGAGGUUGCGCACCCUAUUAUUAAUAACUGGGCUUAAGUAUUUUAGAUUAGUGGCCUGAGCCCAACAAAUUAUUAUUGCUAGCAGGUCGAGUCGUUUCAUUUGGUAUUAGAGUCGAAUACCAGCGGAAGUGUGAGGACUAAGUGCUAUGUAGGACAAAAUGCUACACCAUGGGUUUGGUGGGAGCCACCUCUUGAAUCCGCAAGUGUCACCUCUGUAAUCUCACAACGCCUGAUAAUUCUGGUCUAUAUGUAUGUGAUCGGUUUUGGACCUAACGAGAACGUCAAGGUCUAAACGGGGAGAGUCUAUAAUACCCCAAUAGUCCAGCAUCAGAUUGAAAAGGGGUUCUGAUUGGGAAUAUAAGAGGACGCGCACCCUUGUAAUAAUAACUAGGCUUAAAUAUAUUGGCUCGAUGGUUUGGGCCCAACGAGUUAUGAUUGCUAGCGGGUCGGGUCAUUACACAUAUUCCCUUUGUGGUUUAGGACCACGCACCACCGCCCUCUCAAGGAUUGCCACCUGCAUCUUAAGGUUCUCGACAAGGUCCUCAACCAGCACCUUCCACUCAUCCUCGCGACGGACGAGGUCGUUGCGAAACUGCUCGAGCUGUUGGUAGAAAGUUGCCAUGGCAGCUGCGACGCUGUCCUUUAUGGCAUGCUGCCCCGCCUUCAUCAUCCCUACAUGCUAGGACAGGACGGAGUAGUGCUCUUCUGCUCUCGAAACAGCAUCCUCCAACGAGCUCACGCAGUCCUCGAGUGAAACGGACUCCCUCGCAUAGGUCUGCGGCUCCUUGCUCUUACCGCGCUUGGACUGCCUAGGUAGUUUGCCGUAACAUUAAUGAUGGCAGCAUGGUUUCUCACUCGAAGCAGCUUUGAUACCAACUGUCACGAACUUAGUGAUUUUUUUCGCAAAGCCCGUGCAACGCCCGCCUUCCUACUCAAAGAUAAGCAAACCUGCCUCGAUCUUACUAGUCUGAACUUACUUGCCCUCGAAGACUAAGUGCAAGAAAGAGAGACGAGAGAGAGAGACAACUGUUCUGCGAAAAAAUGGAACCAGCGGAGAAAAGUGGAAUGAGAAAAAAAAUAACAAAGGAAUUUUCUCUUUCUAUCUGUUGAGUUAGUUCUCUUGUAUUUAUCCUUUUAAUCCCUUUUUAUAAUAAGCUGACAGUCCAAAGGACCGUUGUAGGACGUUCCACUAAAGUAGAAUAGGCGAUCCCACAUCUUGUGAGAAAGCUGGGUACAUUACCCCUUUUCCGAAUAUAGGAGAGAAAGGAUACGCGGGCCUCUUUCUCAUAUUAAAUAUAUUAUAUUUAAAUUGAAUUUUAACUUAAAUUUUUUAGUUAUCUAUUAGAUUUAAAUCAAAUCUUUCAAAUUUAACAAAUUACAACAGGUGUAUCCCCAUCUCUAAUACUAAAAUGAAUCAUGAUACAUCAUCAAAAAGUAGACAUGGCCCCUUGAAUUUGCCUUCUUCCUUAGACAAGUAGCUCUUCUGAUAGUGUAGGCUAGACAUGUUAGAGAAAAUUCAAAAUUUUAUUUGAGUUUAUUUAUCCAUUCAUUUAUUCAUUAUAUAUUUAUUAUUUAUUUCUUCUAUUGAAUAUUUAUUUGUUUACUUAUUUAUUCUUUUAUUUUUAAAUUUUUAAUUAAUAACUAAAUAAAUCAUUAACGUCACAUCUUGGAGCGGACAUUUCGUGCGACGUUUCGCACGAACAUCACACGUGAUGUGGAGUCAACGUUGCGUCAACGUUCGACUCCAACACCCACCUCCCUAUAUAAAUGCAUCUUUUUCUACUAUUGUUCAUGUGACUCAUGAAUAUUGUAGAGAAGAGAGAAAUAAAAAAAUGGAGAGUUCAUUUCCCUUUUAAAUUCUAAUUUAUAAUUUUCUUACUAUUCUCUUGAUUUCUCUAAUCACCGAGUGUAAAGAAAGUUCAUCAACCUUCGCCAUAAUCAUGUUUGAGAUGGAAUUCCGGUUGUACUUUGGGGUGGUGUUUCUGGUUAAAUCUGCAAGAAGGACAGGAAUAUUCCUUAGGGCAGUGCUACGCACGCUUCCAGAUCAAUUAUUUGUCUGCUUCCUUUUAAUCAACAAUUUUAGAAUUUUUUGUAGUGAUUUUCUUGUGAGUUGAUUUAUUAAUUCUUUAUCACUAAAUUAGUUAGAUAAUUUAAUCAUAAUCGGAUUUUCAGUACAAUUUUUCCUAACAAAGUCAAUCCUACUUGUUCCUUCAUGUUCUCAUUUAUCUUGAUCCCUGAAUCUCGUGCUUUAGAGAAUUCGAUUACCGGACUUGGACUUAAAUCCUCAUAAAUCACAAAAUUGUAUGAUUGUUAAGAUGAUGUCAAAUAACUGCACCUCUGUGUGAUCAUAGAUUAUGGUCAAGAUUUUCAAGUUAAACUUAUUAAGCUUUAAACAGAUUAAUUGUUUAUCAAAUCCUAUAGAUCUAAAAUUUAUAAUACUAGAGCCAGAUUUUAUUCCUUGUCCAAAUUGAUAUCCAAAAUUUGAAUAACUGAGAAAACAGGAAGAGGAAAGAUGAAGACUUAUUAAGAAGAAAAAUGAAGAUUGUUUCAGGAACAUAAUUAUUGUAUAGUAAGCUACUCAUGAAGCUAAAAGAUUAGAUUCACGAAAGAAAAGAAGAAAUGAUAGCUGGUAGCAGAAUGCAAAAUUUGAAACUAAAGAAUCGAAUUCUUAGCUUCAGUCUUAAAAGCUAAAAAAGUUCGGAGAGCCCCUCAGCUCUCCAAAUACAUCAUUUUUGGGAUAGAUCCCUAUUUUUUCUUAACACUUACUUUUAUAGAUCUAAGAUAUUCCUAAAAUUGGACAAAAUCCUUUGCAAACAGAAACUUGUGACCAAAACAAUGUACGGUAGCAAGAAAUAUAUGACUGCUACAGAAAUAUCAAAGUUUUUCCUAUCAACAGAAGUAAAGCAUCCCCAUACAGCAUCGACCAUACACUUAUUAUAGUGAGAAAAAACACUAACAUGUCGAGUGAAUGAUAACACGUUCCUACACAAAAUCCUAUAUAGUCAGGUGAACCCAAAAUUCUAACACUCAACGAACUAAAAAGAUUCCCCAAAUUUCCAGAAAUCUCCAGAUGCAGAUAUAUGUCCAGUAUCAUUCCAAGGUUUGCCUUGACUCCACAUGGAUGAAAUAAUAUCAGAUUCGAUACAAUAUUGGUACAUUGCCUAACAUUGAAGAAAUUACUAGGAAACCAUCAUUAUUUCUUAUGUUGAUAAGCUAAACAAGGGGCCGUUUGGUUCAAGAUUUAUAAUAUUCCAGAAAUGUUGCACACCUUAUAUUUGGAAUGACAAGUUUAUUACUAAUGUAUCAAGCCACUUGGACUGGGAUGUUGUUAAGAACUAGUAUAUUCUUACUAAUGGACCAGUAAUGAUUCCCAUCAAGCAUGGAAAUGAGAACACCUCCUAACGCAACCCAUCAUAAUCCAGUACUCCUAGAUUUGACUAUUUUCAAUCGAAAAUAUGAAGAAUUAUCAGAAUGUAAUAAACCGUGAACCAAAUAUGCCCUAAUGCCCUAAUUUCCACAAUGGCGCAAAAAUUAAACCAAGACGAAGAUAAGAAUAUAAAGGGAAGCAGCAAUUUGAAGAACUUACCAGUCCUUGCAUCCCUCACACUGGACCAUGAGAUCGUCGGGAUUAUACGGCAUCUCGCACUUACAAUACCUUCAAAACAUGAGUAGCAGAUGGAGAUGAGCUGAAAAUCAGAGAACUAAUAAACGAAGAGCAGAGCGAGAGAGAGAGAGUGUGUGUGUGCGUGAUGGAUAUACACGGCGACGCGAUCGGGGGUGAAGCCGCCGGUGGCGGCCUUGUACUCGAAGCGGCAGAAGUAGUCGUCGGCGCCGACGUUGUCGAGCUUGGUGUAGGUCUUGAAGGCGUGGACGGUGCACUUGCCCUCGAUGGUGUGGGCGCUCUGCACGUCGUAGUGGUCGGAGAGGAAGAGCUCCUUGGCGCCGUGGAACUGCCGGCGGCCCCCGAUGGACUCCUCGGGCCGGUAGUACCACCGCACCCGCACCUUCACGUUCCCGCGGUGGUCCGCCUCCAUCCCCUCCACCCGCGCCACGUACGGCGGCUUCUCCGUGUCCGACGGCCGCAUCAGCACGCACUCCCCGACUGCCCCCCCGCCGAAAAAAAGAGACUAUUGACCGCCGUCACUCUCGAAAAAAAAAAAAACAAGAUGCUGCAGGUAGUAGUGAAACACAUGGAUAGACGGAUGGAUCUUUUACCUCUUACGAUUUUAUUGGUGCCCUUGAUGGAGUAGGAGUCGACAUCCUUCUUUCCCGGCUUCGUCUUCGCCAUCUAGCGCCAAUUUUUCUCGGUUUUUGUGUUUGCAGAUUGGGAGUGGGAAAUGGGGAAUGGGGAUGGUUUGGAGAGGAGACCGGCUAGGCUGUCAUGUCGUUACCAAUCUUCUUCGUCUGAAUGCCCAACAAAAUGGGAAGGGGAGGGAGGGCAGACUGCUGACUGCUGUGCGCUGUGUUCCGACAGCAGGCUGCGCCGGCCCUUUUUCCGAAUUUGGGCGCAGGAUGGAUGGGAUGAUGAUGCAUGGAGACCCAUGGGUUACAUGGGCAUAUAAUAAAAUAGUACUAGUGUAAGCAUUCGCGCGAUGCAGUAAAAUUUUUUUUUAGAAAAUGUAUAUAGAAAAAAUUUACUAUUUACCAACCCUAAAAGAAGAUAAAAAAUCAGAUUUAUUAUUUAUCUAGUAAAAACUGAAUAAAUUUAAGUAUUCGAUCUCAUCGCAACCAAAUGUAACUUUAAAAGAUCCCAAUAUAAAAUCAUCUACAAAGUCAUAAUAUUACAUACAUCGUUUCGAAGUAUAAUACUUAGUACUGAUGGCAAAACAAUACCGCUUCUUUACUCAAUAGUAUUGUUAUUCCUCUGUCUGCCUCUUAAGGUUCUUGCAGCUCUUAUCGGCCCCUUUCCUUAUCUCUUAGCGGCCUUUUGCUCUCGUCCUGGGCAGCAAAGAAUGUGAAGUCUAGGACACCGUCGAAAAGGUUGAUGUGCCGUGAAUCGAAGGGCGGUGCCACCUCUUCCGGCAUAGUGGCGGUAGCGACGACAAUGGCAAAGGAGGAGGAGACAAUGGCGAGGCUGCAGACUUGGCGGAGGCACUCGAGGCGGUACUCGACACCGUGGUGGCGGGAUUGCUCACGCUUGAGCUGCUCCUUAUGCACCGCGACCUCAUCUUUAUGGCACAUCUUUCUUGGGGUUCUUGUAGUUGUAGACGUUCAACCACUUCUGCGGUAGAAUGUUGUACCCUCUCAUCUCUCUAAUCUCAUCACUUACGGACAUAAGUCGAAGGGCAACUGAAAAAAAAAAAAAAGAGUAAAUAUAAUAGAAGACAAAGGAUCAUUGAAAAAAAAUAAAGUAAAUGUAGUUUUUAAGAGAGGAAAAGAAACUACUCAAAUAAGAUGAAGAGACAAUUGGAAAAACCAAAAUAAAUAUAGCUCUUAUGCAAUGCAUGGAAUUAUAACUAUAAUUUUUAAUUUUUGAAUUAAAAUAAAUUUAAAUUUAAAUUAAUUUUAUUUCUUUAAUUUAGUUUUCAAUAUUUACAUAAUCUCAAACUACAUUAUGGAAUAACAUUUUUACUUAACUUAAAAUUUCUAAAUUAUUUUAUAAAAUUUAUUGAUUUUAAAAAAUAUAUAUUUUAUAAGGAUGCAUAGUUUAAGAUCUAAUAAGUAAUCCGUGCACCGCACGAAAUUGUUACAUCAAUAUUUUCGUUUUAGAUGCUAUCUUAAAAAUGAAUAUGUAACUCUACCUUAACUUUAAUUUAUUCUGUUUCAUAUAAUAAUAAAAGGGAAAACUUCAAAUACCCCCCUUGUGGUUUCACUUUUUUUCAGUUUAGUACCCUGUGGUUUAAAGUGUAUCAAGUUAGUACCAUGUGGUUUUGCACUUUUUCACUUUAGUACCCUGUGGUUUAAAGUGUAUCAAGUUAGUACUAUGUGGUUUCGCACUUUAUCACUUUAGUACCCUGUGGUUUAAAAACCACAAGGUACUAACUUGAUAUAAAAAUAAAAUCAUAGGGUACUAACUUGAUACAAAAAUAAAACCAUAGAGUACUAACUUGAUACACUUUAAACCACAGGGUACUAAAGUGAUAAAGUGAAAAACCACAGGGUACUAACUUGAUAGACUUUAAACCACAGGGUACUAAAAUGAAAAAGUGCGAAACCACAGGGGGGUUUUUGAAAUUUUUCCUAAAAGGGAAAACUUUAAAUAAUAUAAUAAAAUAAUACGUACAUAUAAAAUAAUAAACUAUAAUAUUUUGAAGGCCAAUUUGCAUAAAAAAAUCCAUUAGUUUUGCGCUUUUGCAAAAGUGGGCUACCUUUUACGAUUUUGCAAAUUCGAGCCGGAUUUUUAAUAAACUGACCAAAAUACCCUUAUACCUUUUUCUCUCUCUUUUUUUUUCUCGCGUUUUUUUUUUCUCGCCGAAGAAGGCGACGGAGGUGAAGGUGAAAAUGGCCCCCAUCGUCUCUGCACCUCACGCCCUUACCCUCACCUUCGCCUGUGCACCCCUCGCCCUACUCGCCUCCGACCCAGCCGAGGCUGCGCUCCGACUCUCUUUUUUUUCUUUUCGACCCUCCUCCACCACCUCCGCCGCCCUCCGCGAUGAUAACGAGGACGAUAAUGCAUCCUCUUCCUCCAUUUUCGCCCUCCACCUCCACUGCAACGGAUUUUGCACCCACCAAACCCACUUCUGGGAACUCGCGUUCCCACCACCGCCGUCGACGAUAAAGAAAAAGUACUUCUCAGCGUCGAGAAGUUCGCCGGUGAAGGAGAGGGCACGCAGCCUACUCACAUACCCCAGAGGGUGGCAACGAGCGCGGCCUCGACGGUGUCGGAGGCAAGAAGGACGAGGAAUGCACGGGAGCAUCUAUGGAUUAGCACUUUUCUUUGUUUAAAACAAAAAAAAAAGCUAAAAGGCCAAAAGCUAGAGAAUAAUAAAGAAAACUAGAGAAGAAUGAAGAAGAAGAUAAAUUUGCACUGAUUAAAUUGCACUGUUUUAAAAGAACGUUGCACUAUUAUGGACGUAAGUUGCACUCUUUUAAAUAUAAACUACACCCUUUAAGUUAAAAGUUACACUAUUUGAGAGAUAUUUACACUGUUUCUCCUCUUGUUGCACUCUUUAAGAGGAGAUAUUUACACUAUUUCUUCUCUUGUUGUACUAUUUCUCUUGUUAAAGGGUGCAGUUUAACAUCAACACAUCAAAAGAGAAAUAGUGCAACAAGAGGAGAUAUAGUGCAAUAUGAGGAGAAAUAGUGUAAAUAUCUCCUCUUAAAGAGUACAACAAGAAGAGAAACAGUGUAAAUAUCUUUCAAAGAGUGCAACUUUAGUUUAAAGAGUAUAACUUUCAUCUUAAAGGGUGCAGUUUAUAUUUAAAAGAGUGCAACUUACGUCCAUAAUAGUGCAACAUUCUUUUAAAACAGUACAAAUUCACAUUCUUCUUCCUUCUCCUCUAGUUUUUUUUAUUAUUCUCUAGUUUUUGGCCUUUUAGUUUUUUUUUUUUGUUUUAAACAAACAAAAGUGCUAAUCAGAGAUUCUCCCGUGCAUUUCUCGCCCUCCUCGCCUCUGACACCGUCGAGGCCGCGCUUGCUGCCACCCUCUGGGGUAGGUGGGUGGGCCGCAUGCCCUUUCCCUCGCUGGCGAGCUCCUCGACCUCGAGAAGCACUUUUCUCUUCCUCGUCGGCAGCAGCAGUGGGGACGGCAGGUUUAUUUGGCGGGUAAAAAAUCCGCUACAGUAGAGGUGGAGGCGAAGCCGGAAGAAGAGGACGUGUUACCAUCCUCGUAAUUGUCGCGGAAGGCCGCGGAGGCGGUAGAGGAGGGUUGGAGAGAAAAAAAAGAGGGUCGCAGUAAGGCUUCGGCGGGGUCUGAGGCAAGUAAAGCAAGGGGUGAGCGGGUGAGGGUGGGGGUGAGGGCAUAAGGUGCAGAGACGAGGGGGGCUGUUUCCGCCUUCGCCUCCGUCGCCUUCUUCGGCGAGAAAAAAAAAUGCGAGAAAAAAAAGGAGAGAGAAAAAGAUAUAAGGGUAUUUUGGUCAGUUUACUAAAAAUCUGACCCGAAUCUGCAAAAUCAAAAAAAGUGGCUUACGUUUGCAAAAGCGCAAAACUAAUGGAUUUUUUUAUGCAAAUUGGCCUAUUUUGAACUAUAGUUUAUUAAAUUCUUAUCAAAUUAUUGGACAUUAGGGCUAUUUAGAGGGUACAUUAUUUGUUUCUGCAUCCAUAUUUACUGGCCUUGAGUUGCAUGAGGAAUUAAGUAUAGGAAUUCUAAUUCAUAGCAUUAGAGACAACUAAUUUAUUAUAUAACACAACAACAUUGCAUUGAAAAUGUUAUUAUCUUAUAAAUAUUUAAAAAAUAAUGAAAGCACAAUUUAAAAAGGGGCAAUUGCAUAUAUAUCCCUGAAAAGUUUCCGAUUUUCCGAUUUACCCCUCUUAGAAGGCUAAUAUUAAAAAUACCCUUUCUACGUUCCAACCUAUUUCUAAUAUACCCCUAAAGUUAAAAUCUGUUAAUUAACUCUGUUAUCUCUAUAAAAUUACUAUUUUAUCCUUUCAAAUAUACCCUUCCACCAUCACUGACUUUCUUAUUUGCCCUUAAAGUUAGGGGCACAAAAAGUAUUUUGACUUUUGAUCUUUUUCAAUAUACCUCUCUAUCGUCACCAAUAUUUCUUAUUUGCCCUUAAAUUAAGGGCAAAAUUGGUAUUUUUUUGUUUACUGUUGUAGAUAUUUAAUUCACAUUUAACCCAAGUUAACUUAAUAUGAGAUAACUGCGGGGGUAUUUUGCAAUAACGGUAGAAAAUAUGAGGGGUAUUUUAGAAAGAAAAAAAAAAUAGGGGCAAAUCGAAUAGUUUCAAACGUAUGAGGGGUAUAUAGGCAAUUAUCCCUUUUAAAACUGUACAUUUGCUAAAGAGAAGCAAGAAAAUCAAGAUAUUGAAAAUUAAGAAGAUUGGUACAUGUAGUUCUCUUCUCAUCAAUAGAUAGUGAUAAUCAGAAAUUGCAAAUAAAAUGCAUAUGAAAGAGAGGAGAAGGGAGAAAAAAAAUAUAAAAAAUUAAUUAUAAACAUUAUCUAUGUACAAUUUUUAUAUAGCAUGAAGGUGUCAGCAAUAAAAAAAAAAUCUUAUUAAUUUUCACCAUGGUCAAAAAUGAGAUUUGAAGAGUCAAAAUAAAAAAUUGAGAUUUAAAUAGUGGCCAAGUGAUUUUAACUAUAAAAUUAAGGAUGUCAAUAAAAUUCAUUAAAAGCUGUUUUUUAUGCGUUAAGAAGUUCAAAAAAUCCAAUACAACUUGUAACAGAAGCCAAUCAAGACCACUAAAUGAGUCUUUGAUUCAGUUUUUAUUUGGUACAUAAAUGAGAGAGAGAAUAGACGAGCUAUGUCAAAGAAAAAAAAGAAAAAAAUUAUAAAAAAAUGUGGUUGCGCCACGUCAGCUAUAGAUAUCGGGGAUUAAUAUAGAGGUAUAGAUUAAGACCACUGAAUGAGUCUUUGAUUCAGUUUUUAUUUGGUACAUAAAUGAGAGAGAAUAGACGGUCUAUGUCAAAAAUAAAAAAAGCAAAAAAAUGUGGUUGCGCCACGUCAGCUAUAGAUAUCUUUACAAAUCCAUUAAUUGACAGUUCCUCCUGCAUACGUGUCCGCUCCUCCUUUCUUCUCUUUUUCUUUCAUCUCUUCUCUCUCAUUCCUUUCAUACCAAAUCUUUACGCCUCGGGAAGGUACGCCUCGGGAAAUCAAUAUUGGGGAAGGUAAUAAAUCUUCCCAAAUCAAUCUUGAAAAGUACCAAAUCUAUCCAAUGAUUACAUCUCGGGAAGGUACCAAAUCUUUCCAAAUCCACCUCGGGAAGGUACCAAAUUUAUCCAAAUAUUUCCUUACCUCGGGAAACGACAAAAUCCUCACUUUGAUUCCGAUGUGUAUAUAGGAGAACGUGUAUUCAUCAAGUUCGAACUUUGAAAAAUUUUCCUAAUUGUUUCUUCUUUCUCUCUCCCUCAUGCACUGAACUUUACCCGUCUUUACACUGAGUUUUAUAUUUUUUUGUAUUUUUUGCUGGAUCUUUGAGAGCUACUUGGAUUCGUGUUGCACCACCCUGAAAACGUGCCGACGGGGUGGAAGGUGUCACAGGCCUCAUCUAAAACUUUUCUCUCUAUAAUAUUUUCUACUUAAUCCGUCCUUAUAAUUUUUCGAAAACAAAAGUUAAAAUUGUUUUAUUUUAGAAUUGUUUAAAAAAUAAAUUGUUCAAGCUAAAUAUAUGUUUGCAUAUUACAUAAUUACAUAGUUUGUUAUCAAUCCAAAUUACUUAUAUAUGUAUUAAAAUAAUUAGUAAUCAUUUAAGCUAAAUAUAUAUUUUGCAUAGUUCAUAAUUACAUAUUUUGUUAUUAUUCCAUCUUAUUUUUGCAUAGCAAUUCAUUCUUGGCUACUAUUCUUUUGCUUUCUCUUACAUAUAUAUGUAUUGAUAUUUAAUUUUGUUAUUUUCCUCAUUUUUCGUAAUUAUUAUAUAUUAAAAUUCACAUCAAAAUAUUGGUGUUAAAACUGUCCGCGGCGAAGCUCGGGUUCAACACUAAUUGGGGAUUAAUAUAAAGGUAUAGAUAGAUAUCGGGGAUUAAUAUAGAGGUAUAGAUUAAGACCAAUAAAUGAGUUUUUGAUACGGUUUUUAAUUUGGUACAUAAAUGAGAGAGAAAAUAGGCGGGCUAUGUCAAAGAAAAAAAAAGAAAAAAAAUUGCAAAAAAAUAUGGUUGCGCCACUGUAAUACACUGAACUUUAGCAAAUUGCAAAGUUCGAGUGUGGGGAAUGAUAAACGGAACUACCCUACAUCUUCUAAAGGGCUUAGACAAGUUUUUGGACAAGUUAGAGAAGCGAUCGAAUGGCCGGAACCAAGAAAUUGCAUUUCUGGCGAAAUUCUGCAUUGUGUACCGGUACAGCCAUCAUCGUGUACCGGUAGACAAUGGCAGAUACGUGGCAGCAAGGCUAAUUCGGUAAUUUCACUUCUUAUACCUAUCCUUAUCACCCCAGCACGACUCCUUCAGCCUUGUGGAUGAUGCUGGAGCUCUGAGAAGUGGUCUUGCACCUCCCUUCUUCUCUCUCUCUAGGGUUUCUCUCUCUUUGAGUAAAAAUCGCCGAUUUGCGCCUAUUUCUCACCGUUCUUCGCGCUAGCUGGUUUGCGGGCCUUGGAGCAACUGUGAGUGGGAGGAAAGGACUCGCACGGGAGGUAUUUUCGCAACUCCAACUCACAGGGAAGCUGAAUUGAAGUCUAGUGAGGUAAACUAAUUAGUUUUUCUCUCUAGUUUGAGAUUAGUGAUAGUUUUUUAUGUUGGUUCUUGAUUCUUGCUACCAACUGGAUUGAGAUGGUUUAAAGUAGCAAUUGAGGAGUGGCUUUGCUGUAAUUCUUCACCCCAAAGUCAGAUUUAAAGCCUUAGAGGUAAUUAAUGAGCUUUUCUCUAUUUCGAUGAUGAAAAUGAUGAUAUUGGUGAAGUAGUGAUGCAGUUUUGGGAUUUUUAUUCACAACAGGUUUCCGAAUCUAUUUGAGCUGAGUUUGUGACCUUGUGGGCUGGUUUAGAAGGUGUUUCAACCAGGGGUAAGCAGAAUUUUCAGUUAGGAAACUGAUUAAGUGAGAUUCUGACUAGAUUAUCUAGUAUAUAAGUGUUUUGAUGCCGUUUUGGCGAUUGUUCGCAGCGAGAUUCCAACCGACCUUUGGAUCAUCUUCGGCUGUCAUUGGAGAGCCUUUAGAGGUUAAACGUGAGGUACUAAAGUGAACCAAAUCAGGGAUUCAAGCUACAACCUUGUAUAAGGUGAGGAUUUUGCCGAUUUGGAUGUUGUGGUAAUACUUUCAAUGUUUUUGGGACCUAAUUUUCAGCAGGAUUGAGAACCAGUCGAGACGAAUUUCGGGACUCUUUUGGGCUAGUUCGAGCUUAGUCGAGCUUAGUACUAAGUACUUUCACCUAGACUGAAGAGUAGAUUCGACUGUUAUCUCAAUCUAGGGGACUUGAAGGCAUUGGAUUUACCACGAGUGUGAAUUCUUCGACAAGGGUUGUCGACUUAUAGGUGGGUUUGACCUAACCAGAGCAAGUGAAGCUCCCAUAUGUUCUAUAUGAUACUAUAGAAUUGGUACAUAUGGGUACUUUUGUGAUUAUGUGAUUGAUAAGGACUUGGAACAUCAUCACCACAACGUUUGAUAUAUUUGAAAUGAAACCUCUAUGAAGUAGAGAGAACUUAUGCAUAAAAGUAUUUAUGUUUAUGUUUAGUUCAGUUGAAUAACUGAUGGACAAAUCUAUUAUACCUCUAUAAAGUAGAGAACAAUGACAUCUCUUGUGACUCUAUCGAUAGUACAUUAAUAGUGGGAAAUUUCUAAUGCAAUAUAUAAAAUUAGCAUUAUUUUCAUGUGCUUACUAAUCUAGUGGAUACUAGCAAUUUUCAUUAUUUAUCAUAUUGAGAUUCCGAUCAAUAGAUCGAAAACGACAACAUUACAGGUUAAAACAUGAUGACUGAGAUAUGUUAGACUAUGGUUUUGCUUGCUUGCCAUUGUGCUCAUUCGCACACCCUUGUGAGGGUCGCUCCCUACAAGCCGGCACUCCGGAGUUGGCCUACACGACAGAUUGCUCGCCCGUGCGGGAUUGGGUGUCGAAAUGGAUUGCCGUGGGGAGUUUAUACUACCACGGGGCCACUAGGCACGGCGCAAGCUUGACUACCUUGUGUAGGUCCUUAUGAAUCAAAUUAACUUACUAAAUGAUAGUAAUGAAUGAUUACCAUUUACAGUGUACAGUACUUACUCACAUGUUCAUGCUUUUAGUAAUUGCUAUGCUUAUCUUAUUCAGUUGAUACAUUUACAUUUGAAAAGUAUGAUUACAUAUUCCUUACCUAUUAGCAUUGUAGAUAUAUCAUGCCAUUACUGCUUUUACUUUUCAUUUAGUACAACAUUGAACCUAGUGGUGUAAUUCGCCGAGGCUGGCGGCUUACCCACUGGGAACUAUUAUUUAAUAGUUCUCAUGCCCCCUUUGUUGUUGUUUUUACAGAGCCAUCCACUGCGGGAGAGGCUAGGGAUCGCGGGAAGGAAGUCGCGUCUAGCUAGGCAUAGCGUGGAGUCCCGCUAGGUGAUCACCUCGCCGCUUGAUUUUGGACUGUCGAGGGUGAUGUGCACCAGUGUAUAGAGAGACUACCUUUGUAUAUAGUUUUUGAGGCAACCUUGUGAUGUAUAUGUUGGCCUAGAAUGUUGUAUUUAUAAUUAUAGCUUUUCUGCUUGUUGAGUUUUUGGGAUUUAGACUUACUCUUUUCUCGUUGAUAGUAUUGUGGUUUCAUACUUUGCUCUGAUAUCCUGUUAGAAUCUCUGCAAGAUCCUUCCUUCCUUGAACUUGGUUUUUGUAGACGUCUUAUAUACUGCAGGUAUAUGACGGGUCUGUGCACGUACCGGCUAUGCUUCCGCUGAUACCCGGGCGUGACAGCCACAUUAGCUAUAGAUAUCGGGGAUUAAUAUAGAGUGGUGAGAAAUGAGAUUUAAAUAGUCAAAAUGAAGAAUUGAGAUUAAAAUAGUGGCCAAGUGAUUUUAACUAUAAAAUUAAGGAGGACAAUAAAAUUCAUUAAGGGGACGUUUGGUUUGAUGAAUCUCUAGAUCCAAUGUAACUCUAGUGUAGUGGUGUUUGAGUUACCCUGAAGUGUAGUUAUUUUUUUGUUGUUUGUUUUGAUGUAACUCAAACUUCUGAAAGUUAAGUUCACCCACUUCUUUUGUUUGUUUUGAUGNGUUGCGCCACGUCAGCUAUAGAUGUCGGGAAUUAAUAUAGAGGUAUCGACGAUUUGGUACAUAAAUGAGAGAGAGAAUAGACGGGCUAUGUCAAAGAAACAAAAGAAAAAAAAUUGCAAAAAAAUGUGGUUACGCCACGUCAGCUAUAGAUGUCGGGAAUUAAUAUAGAGGUAUCGAUUAAGACCACUAAAUGAGUCUUUGAUUCAGUUUUUAUUUGGUACAUAAAUGAGAGAGAGAAUAGACUGGCUAUGUCAAAGACAAAGAAGAAAAAAAAUUGCAAAAAAAUGUGGUUGCACCACGUCAACUAUAGAUAUCGGGAUUAAUAUAGAGGUAUAGAUUAAAACUACUAAAUGAGUCUUUGAUUCAGUUUUUAUUUGGUAUAUAAAUGAGAGAGAGAAUAGACGGGCUAUGCAAAANAAAAAAAAAAAAAAAAAAAUUUGCAAAAAAAUAUGGAUGCGCCACGUUAGCUAUAGAUAUCGGGGAUUAAUAUAAAGGUAUAGAUAGAUAUCGGGGAUUAAUAUAGAGGCAUAGAUUAAAAGCACUAAAUGAGUCUUUAAUUCAUUUUUUGUUUGGUACAUAAAUGAGAGAGAAAAUAGACCGGCUAUGUCAAAGAAAAGAAAGAAAAAAAAUUAUAAAAAAAUGUAAUUACGCCACGUCAGCUAUAGAUAUCAGGAUUGAUAUAGAGUGGUGAGAAAUGAGAUUUAAAGAGUCAAAAUGAAGAAUUGAGAUUUCAAUAGUGGCAAAGUAAUUUUAACUAUAAAAUUAAGGAGGCCAAUAAAAUUCAUUAAAGACUGUUUUUUAUACGUUAAGAAGUCCAAAAAAUCCAAUACAACUUGUAAUAGAAGCCAAUUAAGACCACUAAAUGAGUUUUUGAUUCAGUUUUUAUUUGGUAUAUAAAUGAAAGAGAGAAUAGACGGGCUACGUCAAAGAAAAAAAUUGCAAAAAAAUGUGGGUGCGCCACGUCAGCUAUAGAUAUUGGGGAUUAAUAGAGAGGUAAAUGAGUUUUUGAUUCAGUUUUUAUUUGGUAGAUAAAUGAGAGAGAAAAUAGACGGGUUAUGUCAAAGAAAAAAAAAAUUGCAAAAAAAUGUGGCUGUGCCACGUCAGCUAUAGAUAUCGGGGAUUAAUAUAGAGGUAUAGAUUAAGACCACUAAAUGAGUCUUUUAUUCAGUUUUCAUUUGGUACAUAAAUGAAAGAGAGAAUAGACAGGCUAUGUCAAAGAAAAAAAAGGAAAAAAAUUACAAAAAAAUGUGGUUGCGCCACGUCAGCUAUAGAUAUCGGGGAUUAAUAUAGAGGUAUAGAUUAAGACCACUAAAUGAGUCUUUUAUUCAGUUUUUAUUUUGUACAUAAAUGAGAGAGAGAAUAGACGAGCUAUGUCAAAGAAAAAAAAGAAGAAAAACUGUGAAAAAAAAUCUAGUUGCGCCACGUCAGCUAUAGAUAUCGGGGAUUAAUAUAGAGGUAUAGAUUAAGACCACUAAAUGAGUCUUUUGUUCAGUUUUUAUUUGGUACAUAAAUGAAAGAGAGAAUAUAUGGGCUAUGUCAAAGAAAAAAAAAUUGCAAAAAAAUGUGGUUACGCCACGUUAGUUAUAGAUAUUGGGGAUUAAUAUAGAGAAUAUAGAUUAAGACCACUAAAUGAGUUUUUAUUCAGUUUUUAUUUGUUACAUAAAUGAGAGAGAGAAUAGAUGGGCUAUAUUAAAGAAAAAAAAAGAAAAAAAAUUGCAAAAAAAUGUGGUUACGCCACGUCAGCUAUAGAUAUCGAGGAUUAAUAUAGAGGUAUAGAAGAUAGAUGAGUCUUUUAUUCAGUUUUUAUUUGGUACAUAAAUGAAAGAGAGAAUAGAUUGGCUAUGUCAAAGAAAAAAAAAUAGUUGCAAAAAAAAAUGGUUGCGCCACGUCAGCUAUAGAUAUCGGGGAUUAAUAUAGAGGUAUAGAUUAAUAUAGAGAUAUAGAUUAAAACCACUAAAUAAGUCUUUUAUUCAGUUUUUAUUUGGUUCAUAAAUGAGAGAGAGAAUAGACGGGCUAUAUCAAACAAAAAAAGAAAAAAAAUUGUAAAAAAAUAUGGUUAUGCCACGUCAGCUAUAGAUGUCGGGGAUUAAUAUAGAGGUAUAGAUAGAUAAAUGAGUCUUUUAUUCAGUUUUUAUUUGGUACAUAAAUGAGAGAGAGAAUAGAUGGGUUAUGUCAGAGAAAAAAAAUUGCAAAAAAAUGUGGUUGCGCCACGUCAGCUAUAGAUAUCGGGAAUUAAUAUAGAGGUAUAGAUAGAGGUAUAGAUUAAUAUAGAGAUAUAGAUUAAAACCACUAAAUAAGUCUUUUAUUCAGUUUUUAUUUGGUUCAUAAAUGAGAGAGAGAAUAGACGGGCUAUGUCAAACAAAAAAAGAAAAAAAAUUAUAAAAAAAUAUGGUUAUGCCACGUCAGCUAUAGAUGUCGGGGAUUAAUAUAGAGGUAUAGAUAGAUAAAUGAGUCUUUUAUUCAGUUUUUAUUUGGUACAUAAAUGAGAGAGAGAAUAGAUGGGUUAUGUCAGAGAAAAAAAAUUGCAAAAAAAUGUGGUUGCGCCACGUCAGCUAUAGAUAUCGGGAAUUAAUAUAGAGGUAUAGAUAUGUGGGCCAGUCCCGCCUCCCUGUUCUCAAAAUAAUUUUUGUACAUAACUAACUUUACUUUAAAAAUUAGUUUUGAUUAAAAAUUAUAAAGUAUUUGUCUGAAUUUAAAUAAAAAUAAUUUUUUAAAGUAAUUUUAUAAAAUUGUUUGGUAAAAAAAAUUUGGUGUUUGCUAGUCUUAAUUUUUUAAUGAAUUUUAUUUUAAAAAUAAUUAAUUCUAUCAUAUGUUAGAUGAAAAUUAAGUAUAAUGAUAACUUUGCUAAUGAAAUUUGAAAUAUAAUUCAAUAUAUGAGAAAAGAAUAAAAUUAAUAUAUAACGAUAUAAUUUUAUAGGGCUUUUGCUCAUUUAUCUUUAUCUAUUAUUAAAGAAUUUUACAAAAAUAUCCUUCUAAAUCCCAAUUUUCAUUAGUAAACCCUAGGAGUUUGGAAAUAUUUGAAGGAAUUUUUGAAAAUCAAUAGGGGUAUUUUGGUCGACCAAGGUGUAUAUUUGAUAUUUUUGAAGUUUUAGAGGUAUAUUAGUUAUUUAUCCCUAAUUUUAAAAAUAUAGGUGAAAUUAUAAUUCUAAUUUUAUAAUUUAACAAAUAAUAAAUGUAGUGUUUCUGAGCUUUCGAUAGGAUUGGCUUCAGUGAUAGUGACUGGUCGAUACAUCUGGAGAGUGUCGGACUGAGUCGAAGUCGUUUCUGCGCGAAAUGGGUGCAGAAAUUGACUCGGCGCACUCAAAUAAGCAAAACUGGAGUUUUGCCAGAUUCGGGCCCCUGGAACAGAUCUUGGGUCGCCCAGAAGUUGAGUGCAGAUUUGAUCACAACUGGAAGCUAAUUCGGGUCCAUGUUUCGGGCGCCCGGAUGAGGGUCUGAAAGUUCACCUCAUGAGUAUCGUUUGUGCUGACACGUGGCUGGUGGUUGGUGAGGUCAGCCGGAGCCGGAUACGGGCGCAGCACACCGUGAGCAGAGAGUCCGAGAAGGAAGCUUUGUGUAGCCUGGAGGAUUCGGGCGUCCAUAAUGUGGGUCCGAGCGCCCGGAAAUGCCCGUUUCUGCAGGGACAUCAGAUUGCAGCAGCUGUUCUUGGGGCUUAUCCUACCCUUCCAGCACUCUAUAAAUAGAUAGAGAGGGACCUUGGUGAGCUUUUUUCACAGUUUCUUUACAGUGAACUCAUAAUUCCUCUCUCAAUCCUUCAAACCUUCUCAAAUUGCUUCAAGAUCCACAACUCCAAGCUUGCUAGGUGCUGAUUCUGCAGUUCUUCUGCGACGACCUCCAGUGUUUUGGCUCGUGUGCGAUGUAGGAAGGUCGGAUCGCGGUGAAACUUGGUUUGCUGGAUUCUAGACUUCCAGAGGAAUCCACAAAGUCCUGAAUUGCGGAUUUUGGUUGAGGUUAGUUUAGUUGUUUACAUGUGUUUCUGGAUUGCUGGCAGUAUUGAGCUAAAAAUGAGAUUUUUUAGCUUUUCUUGAUGCUAUCUUUGUAAACAGUGGGAUUUUGGACUUGAGACACAUUCUCCAUUAUUAGUCAAUAGAUUUGAGACCUUCCUCACCUGAUUUGGAGGUAAUUAGGUGAGUUUUAACAUUACAAUUGAGAUUAAAUUAAGCUUUAGUGCUGAAAUAGUGAUAAUUGAUGGAAUUCAAUGUGUAGAGCUUGGAGAUAGCUUGAUUUCUGGUCUUGGAGGAUUUCGGUUGAUCCAGCAGGGAUUAACAGUGGUUCGGGACCCUUCUUUGCUGCCAGGAUUCGCAAUUAAGGUGGGUUUAUCAUCGGUUUUGCUCUUAGGUAUAUGUAUAGUAAACAUGUAUAGUUUCGGAAUAUCGUGUUGUAGCUCGAAUUCAUCGAUGAAUAUGAUAUAUAAAUCUGAAUUUGGAGCAUGCUUAGUAAUUAGUUGAAUAUACAUGUUGGACUUGGAACUUGACUUAGGAGAAAAUCAGCGAUUCGACUUGUCAUAUGAUUCUACUAUCUGAUUUAGUUCUAGGAGCCGUAUUUUGACCGUAUCACUGCUGUUUCAGCGCGGUGGAUACCCGGGGUAGUUUAGAAUGCAUUUACGCUCGUGCUGGAAUGCUGAGCUUAUUUUUACAGCAGAGUCUAGCCUGUUUCGGGUUGUCGGGUGCCGUCGGGGUGGACGGUGGACCCAGAUUUCUAUUUUUGGUCUCAGAUUGUGCCGAGGGCACGUGGGUUUGGUUUCUAGACCUGUUUUGACCCUAGCUACUUGACUUUAGCUUGUUAGAGCCUGAUUGAGCUCGACAGAGAUACGCUUGCAUACUCGGUUGGGUAGCGCCCACGAGUGCCACUCCGGAGUUAGGCUUAGUGCGUUUGCGUUGGUGUCGUUUGUGCAGGUUGGACUUGCUCUCUACGGACUUGUUAGUUUGGAGGUAGUUGUAUAGUCGCGACCGGGCGGGACGGGUGUAUUCACAGUCCCAGGGACGGGUAUGACUACAGUCCUUAUUUGAGAUUAGGUCUGAGUUGACACUGUUCUACAGAUGGUUAGAUUUAGAGCAUGAUAGUGUAGUGGUAUACACCUGUAGAUUUGUUCCAACUUUCUUUACUAUUCCUGCUGAUCCCUGUAAACUUAGUGGGUGGACCGAUGAGUUGAGGGCGGUACCCACUGAGGACUAUUUGUUUUUAUAGUAGUUCUCACGCCCAGUUGUUAUUGCUGUUUUUGCAGAACCGUCGCCUUCGGCUGCUGCUGUUGCUGAUCUUGAUUGUGGCAAGGGCGUCGCGAGUUAGAGCCCUUCCAGUCGAGUCGCAGAGCUAGAGGAGCACCAGCUAUAGGUAGUUGUAGUUUUUGGGUCUUUACAUACAGUUGUUGUUAUCUCGCCAGAGCGAGUAUUUGUGUACCUUGGAUAACAUGUAUGUAUUGAACCACCGUUUAUAUAUAUGAUUUAUUUUCCUAGCUGCUCUAUACUACUGUUUGUAGUAUUGUAUGAUUACAGGUACUUCUACUUUUUCGCUUCGUAUACAGGGGAAAUACCAAUGUAUACGGCGGGUCUGUUAGCGAGCCCGGGAAAACGAGUAAUCCGGGACGUGACAAUAAAAUUAAAUAUAAAUAUAUAAUUUUAAAUAUAGAAGAGUAUAUUAUUUUAUAAAUUUAGUAUGUUCGCAAAUCAUCUUAGAAAAAUUAACUUAGUAGUAUACAAUUUGGGCAUUCAUUUGAAUAUAUUCGAAAUUGAUUAAAAUUGAGUAUAAAUAUUAACAAAACAUCAUCAAUUAUAUGAUAAUGAGCAUUGUAAUCUAUCUUUUUCAUCAAAUAGAAAAACAAUAAGACAUAUAAAUUAAAAUUAAUACAACACUACAGCACAAUAAUAAGGUAUAUAAAUAAAAUUUAUUGAACUAUUUUCCCUUGAAUUAACUAAAAUAUAUUUGUCAUUACAUUCAAGAAUAGAAAAGUAGCCACAUAUGAUUCUCCCCAUCUAUCUAUUGUUUCAUAAUUGCUUGGUAAUAACUGAACGAAAGGUGUCACCUCGUCGAUAUUCAUUUGGACCUACUAAUAUCAUAUCCUAAGUCACACUAAUUAAACCUACUUGGAGUAUACUGAUCCAACCCGCUAGUAAUAAUAAUUUGUUGGACUCAAACCACCAAUCCAAAAUGCUUAAGUCCAGUUAAUUUAAGUAGUAUGUUCUUGCUUCUACUAUAAAGAAAGCUGUCAUUGCCAUCACUUAUAAAUCCAUCAUACUCUUUUACAUUAUCCGAUGUAAAACCUGUUGGGAUAUCACAUACUUUCCUUGUUUAGGCCUCAACAUUCUCAUCGGUCCGACCCAAUCUUACAUAUAGCUCCAUAUUCACCGGGCGAUCUAUCACGCUUCGGAUUCAACUGCUUAGAUCUGAACCACAACAACCAACAACGAAUUCGAAAGAAGAAUCUCCGAAAAGGAAAGGCCUUAAAUAGAUCCAAAGCUACACUCUCAAUUAAAAACUAAAUAAAAUAAUUUUUAACUCAAACAAAACUAAUAGUAAUUAUUAGAUGUCCAAUUGUGAAUAAGGAUAAAUUAGAUAUUUUAGAAGUUUUCAAAGACACUAGUGUAGGAACCCGCGCGAUGCGGCGGAUAAAAAUUUUUAGUAAAAAUUUAUAGAAUAAGUAAACAAAUAUGGAACAUAAAAAAGAAAAAGAAGAAUAUAAGUAUAUUUGAUUGAAAACAUUACAUAUUUUCUCAUAAAUGGUAGACCAAGAGCCACUAAAAAAAGAAAAUAAAUGUGCGUAGAUGAAACAAAAAAUAAAGAGUCAUUUGAAAAAAUAAAAAUAAAUAUAAUUCUUUAGAGAAGAGAAAAAAUGACUUGGGGCCCACACCUCCUUCAAAUUAAAGAGGUACAUCCAUAUAAGAUUUAGGCAAGAGAAUUCAUGUAUAGGUAGAUAUUAGACAUUAUCAUAAAAUAAAAUAAAAAGUUUUGAAAAUAAAAAUAGAAAAGUAAAAAAUAAAUAUCUACAAAUAAAUUUUCUAAAUUUUUUUAAAAAAAUAAAAAAAAGAUGGAAAUAUUCUCGUCCUAAUUUGAGGAUCAAAAGUGUAAUUCGGCCGGACAACCGGUGGAGGAGCAGAAGUCCUAUCCUCUCUCUAUUCUCGUGAGAUUCCAGUCUUCCAUUUUUUUUUCCCUUCCAUCCACCACCGCCGAUUGCGCGGACAAUGGCCUUCGCGGCGAACCCGCUGUCUUUGAGCGUCCCGGAGGCCGCCUUCGAGACCUGGCUCCGCGACUCCGGCUACCUCGAGAUUCUCGACGACCGCACCGCCUCCGCCUCCGCCUCCGCCUCCGCGAACCGAAACCCUAGCCCCACCGCCGCCACCACCACCACCACCACCAUCACCACCACCAUCAAUUCCUCUUCCUCCUCCUCCGAUCUCUUCUCCUUCCUCCGCACCCUCGCCUCCCUCCUCGCCCUCAACCCCUUCGCCAAGCUCGCCGCCGAGGACUUCGCCGGCCCCACCCCCUCCUGGACCCUCGAAUUCCUCGGCCCCGCCGCCGGGUGCUACUCCUGGCCCGCCGGCCCCGCCCAGGCCCGCAUGAGGGUCCAGGAGAACGUCCGGCGGUACGCCCGCAACUACGCCUUCCUCUCCCUCCUCUUCUUCGCCUGCUCCCUGUGAGUACUCGCACCCCCCAUGCCUUCUGCUUUUACUUUCAGCAGCAGUAAUUUAAAUUUAAGAAUCUUCUGUUUCUACUUUCAGUGGUAGAAAAAGCUAGAGAGAGAGAGAGAGAGAGAGAGAGAGUCCGGCUGGAAUACUUUUAAUAGUACCGAGCACUUGAUAAUGCUAUCCGGUUUUCCACCAUUAGAUCUAUUCCUUGAUCAAUUAGAGUUGUGCUGGAAUACUAUUAAUAGCAUUUGGGUCCUUUUACUACUAAGUUUAUAAUACUUUGAUAGGGUUUAGUGUGGUCCCCCUAAGAGGCUUAGUGGAUGGUUGGUGGAAUAGUAUGUAUGAUCUAGGGUGUGGGAUUGAUCAAGGGAUAGAUCUAAUGGUGGAAAACUGAAUAACACUAAGUUCUUGAUGCUAUUAAAAGUAUCCUAGCCGGACUAUAACCGUGGCGAAAAGCAGAAUUGUUGUUCUUGAAAGGCCUGUCUGGCCAUGCCUCAGUUUCUGCAUUUAAACAGAUAUUAUUUUAGGAUCUGUGUGGCCACACUUCUUCUUUUAUUUAUGCUCUCAGCAGCAAUAAUUUCGGAAUCUGUUGUGUUCCACUUUUGCUUCUACUUUCAGCAGCAGACGGCGCGCUACUAGCGCCUUUUGUAUAUAAAUAAAAGGGGAAAAAAAUUAUGAAGCUUCUACUGCAGCGGAAAACAGAAUCUCUGUUCUUGAAAGGCCUGUUUGGCCCCGUUUCUGCUCUUAUUCUUGGCGGUAAUGGGUGUUUGCUGUUGCGGGAAGCGAAAUUGAGUUUCUGAUCCUUGAAAGUGAAGCUUCUGUUUGAUGCUUCUGAUUUAGUUGCAAAAUGAAGUAGUUGAGAUUAUUUUAAGUUAUUGACUCUUUUAUUAGUAAGUACUACAGUAAGGCCAAACAGGCCUAGUGCGUAUGGCAAAUAGGAAAAUACUGGAGCAUCUGCUGUAAAAACAAGCAGAAAUUGUAUUUUGAGCUUGAAACACAGAAACACCAAUUUGAUGCUUUCUAAAUAGGCACUACACUCUACAGUAGGGCAAAGUAGCCCCUAACCCUUUUUUAGGGUAUUUGUUUAGCUGUUUGCUUGUUUCUUAUUGUUGUUGACAGGUAUCGGAUGCCAAUAUCGCUUUUGGGUUUGAUGUCGAGUUUAGUGAUUUGGGAGCUAGUCAGGUUCUGCAACGAGAAGUGGGACUUGGAGCAGCGAUUUCCAGGAUUAAGGCAGGUUUUGGUGCGGUUUGCUCAGUUUGGUGAGUAUUAUUGUCCACCGUUUAUCUUGAUUUCAAACCCAUAAAAUUCAAAUGGCAGAUUCUACAAUUUUGUUUCAUUAAUUUACAAGUUUGCAAAAGUUUGGAAGAAAAGCCAGAAAUGAAACUGGGGAAGCGCCGCCUAUGGUUUCUGUAAUAUAAAUCAGUCAGAAAAGAACUAGGAAUCCUAUUGUUGCAACUAGCAAGCAUUGGAAUUAGAAACAGAUCAUAACAUGUGAAGGACUCAGGAAAGGAAACAUCCAAAUAGAUAUAGCCGUAUAGGAUAUGGCUAUCAAUGUAUGGGAAUUGGGAAAAAGACUAUAAACAAGGCCUAAUUAACCAGAAAGCCCUAAAUAUAAUUCAGGUAAGCAAUAAAGUUCAGACUCGAAACCUCACAACUGAUUUGAAAUCCAGCGGUAACAGAUGAAGUAACUCUAGAGAAGAUAAAGAUUUUUGCAAAACCAUUCGAUCAUCAUCAAGACAAGCACACUGCAAAAUUUUAUCAUAAACUAAUUAUCUAACCGACCAAUAGUAAAAGGUAAGACGGAAUCAAAUACUAAAGUAGAGCAAUUGCGGACGCCAAUUGUAGAUUGCCCUACCAGAGCUUGUUUGGCCUCUAAUGGCGGUGCAGCUUCACCAGCUGAAAUUAGAGCUUAGCAAUUGCUGCUAGGUGGCUUGCUCUCUUAUUUUUCCUUUUUUCGUCCCUUUUUUUUUUGUUGGAAGAGAGAAAAGGUCCAUGUGUGAAAGAGGGCGUUUAUAAGGUCUGGUCAAGUGAAGUUAGCGAGUGAGAGCUAUCUGAGGGGAAUGGGUUGUAAUAGGAAGGGAUCAAAUAGCCUAAGGUUCUAGGAAGUCUUCUAGUUCUAGGGUUUUUUCCAGGAAGAAAACAUCUGUCUUAUCAUGAGUCGAGCUGGCUAAGUUACAUUUUUUUAAAAACAAAGAUAACUGGUUUACUUUCAAUCAAGGUUUAAAGUGCCGUGGCACGGGGGCGUGCUGUUAUGUCCCUGGCACGGUACGGCACAGGCACGCAUGCGUGCCAACACGUGGCACGCUUGCGUGCCGAUAGAUACGCAUGACCUCCUACUGACACGCUUUGGCACGGAUUUAUUUCAAUUUUUUUGGUUCCAAUAAACUCUUAUAAUGUUAUUUUGAAAUAUUUAAAUAAAUAAUAAUGAAUAUUUACUAUAUAUACCUUACUAUACUCAUUAAUUAACAUGCAUGUAAGCUUUUUGUAAGUAAAAUACAACUAUACCUGAUGUAGAAUAGAAAUUAAAAUACAAUAAUAAAAUUCACAAGUAUAAUAAUUAUUUAAAUUUACAUCUUUAUAUAGAGAUGACUACUUAAUUCGACAUAGAUCGUCGCGUUUGAUCAUAUGGCAUAUUGUCAUAUGAAGAUACAAGAUUUAUAUGACAAUAUUGAUAUAAAUAUUGCUGGCAUUGUGAGAAAGUCAUAUAUUCCCGAUAUCACAUCCAUAUUUUUUGUUCUUUUUAAAAAUAUCUUAUCAAAAUUUGUUUAGGAGAUCGAUUUUUGUUCUUUUGAUUCACUGAAAGCUUCGCGGUGCGACAAAUUUUGAAAAAAUAUUCUGCGAAAAAAAAAUGGAUGUCAGUAGACCCGAGCUCGUAGCCCACCACUGACAUCCGAGGGGGGUGCGGGGGGCAAAACCCCCCGCGGUAUGGAUCGGAUAUGUCAAUUAAAAAGACAAUAUAAGUGGUCCGAGGGGGACUCAGAGACCCCAGAGAACAAAAGAAAAAAGAAAAAGCCAAAAAAAAAGCCAAAAAGAAAAAAAAAAGAAAAAAAGAAAAAAAAAAGCGGCACGCACGGUACGUGCCGCCGGCACGCACCUGCCCGCCGCUUUGUCUUGAGCGGCACGCAUGUGCGUGCCGCGAGACAGAGGGGGGGUCCGAGACCCCCCCUGAAGGGGGCACGGUACGGCACGCCCCCGUGUCGCCCGGAACGGGCGGCACUUAAAACCUUGCUUUCAAUGCAUCUUUCAUUUAAUACUAGAAUCUUAAAACCUUUUUGGUUUAUUUGGUUCCCAAGUAUGAGUGUAUGAGUGUUUCUCUUUCUGUCGAUUAGCGUCUCGAAAUCCCUUUUAUUACAUUCACUACUGGCUAGAUUACAAAUAUUCAAGUCGAUAUACAUUUUUGUUCAAAAUUAUUUUGUUCACAUUAUGUGCAAAAUAUGCAAGUUUGAUUUCUCUUUGUAUGUAGUUUUUUUUUCCCUUUACAAAUUUUUUUUAGUUAUACUGGUAAAAUGUUUCACGCCACCCAUUUUAAAUUGUAGUGAUCAAAUAUAGUUAUGUCUGUUUCGGUUUACAAAAUGUUAAGUUUUUUCUGUUUUAAUCUGCUUUUGACUUAUACCUUAUCCUUCCUCUUGAUGGGCUUGUAUUUGGCAUAUAUCUGAAGUGUAAAUUGCCGAAGGAAUUGAUUUUCACAUGCAUUCGGCGAGUGAAUCUAUAUAUCUAUGUCGUAUCUGAGAAUGCCCUUAACAAAAUCCUUUUAUAGAUCACAUGUUGAGGCUUUUUUCCCCCUUUCUUUUAAAAAAAUAAUGUGGAGGGUUGAUAUUGUGGCCUAACUACAAUAUAACGCAAUUGUUUUGGAUGAUAGAUAAGAGGAAAUAGUGCAUGGACUAGAUGAACCAUUUCUUGAUUGAUUAGCUGAGUGUCAUGAGAUGAGCCUUUUGGAAUGAUUUACAAGAUAGGAGAUUGUGCUGAACUUUUGCUUAUAUUUGCGAACUUGCAAUACAAGUGCAAUGGAUCAUAGCUGGUGGAUAUUUUAUAAGUUGGAUAAUCAAAAGGAUAAUAAUUUGAUUAGAAAGGAGCCAGAUUAGAUGAUCUUUCGGUAGGAGAAGUUCCUCAUUCCUCAACAAUUGUGGUUUGGCCCAAUUAUCAACUAAGAUCUAUUUUCUAUUAAUUUUAAGCUGGCUGUCCUAUUAUGGGCGAGCGUCUUCUAUAGUGACUGAACAAAUUUCCUGAUAAUGUUUACUUGUUUAUAUGCUUCCAUAGAUGAAUACUGUGGCAUUAUCAAAUAUAUAGGACUAGUGAGAUGGAUCACAGUUCUUGAUUUACUCUGCUAUAUCCAUUUUUAGUCUAGUGAGCUGCCUGUUUCUGCGCCCUGUCACUACUAAGAUAUUGCUAUCGUUGGUACUUUAUGUUGUUUCUUGAUUUGCUUUCUCUUGAAGUUCAGAUGAAAUCCCAAAACAAAAAUUAAAAGAUUUCUGUUUUGUGUAUGUUGCAACCUAUAGAUUUAGUUUUCAAAACCAAUUGAAAACUGGAAAAAGAAAAUCCGAUUCUGUUAUAUUUGAUUUGAAGAACGUUUAGAUUCAGAAUAGCGGUCCAAAUUCUUCAAAACUUGCUUAUUGGGUCUGAAAAAAUGUGAUUCAGUUUUUGAUAACUCCGGUUAUUUCUUUUUAUCGUACUUUGAUUUCUUUGAUAACGCUAUAUUUCCACUUAUGCAACUACACACGGAAAGACUGCACCCUUAAUAAAGGGUUCAAAGAUGAACAUUGGCUCUUGCGUCCAAUGGUUGCACCACCUGACUGUCCCCAGUUCAGUUUGAACAGAAAUCACCAACAUUCAUUGGUGAGGAGCGGACUGAGGUUCCCUGCCUUCCCAGUGAAAUAUCCUGCCAUUUGAAAAACUGGAGAAGUGCAGUUUUUAAUCUUUCUGGAUUCUUUUUUGGCUAAAUUACAGAAAACCCCCCUGUCAAAACCCGAUUUUUCACUUUCCCCCCAUGUCAUUUAAAAACCUACACUUUGCUCACUUGUAAAAUGAAAAAUGUUCACAGGGGGGGUACGGUGUGUAAAAUGACCAUUUUGCCCCUCACCAUUUUCGUCUUCUCCCUCAUCUUCCUCAACCGCCGCCUCAAUCGGCCGUGAUUCACACCUCGAUUGGUCGUGAUUUCUCUCCAUUUUCUUCUCCACCUGCUCCCCUUCUCCUCCUGCACUCUCGCCGCCCCUCAAUUUCGGCGACAAUAAGGAGGAAAUCGAGGUAGGCGUUGAUGGAGAGGUAGGCAAGGGCAACCAGGGCGAAGGCGAGGCGGCGAAGGAGCGCGAAGGGGAUGUUGGCAAAGGCGAGGGCGAGGGCGAGGGCGAGGUAGUGGAGGAGGGCGAGCCGGCGAGGCGGCGAGCCGGAGGGAGGCGAAGCAACAGGAAAGAGGGUGGAGGGGUAUUUUUGGUAUAAAAAAAAAUUUUAUAACGGAAUCCUAUCGGAUCAUUAACGGUAGGGGAUGAAGUGCACAUUUUUCAUUUUACAAGGAGGCAAAGUGUUGGUUUUUAAAUGACAUGAGGGGAAAGUGAAAAAUCAGGUUUUUACGGGGGGGGUUUUCUGUAAUUUAGCCUUCUUUUUUUUUUUCUUUUUUGGAGCUUUAAAAAUGCACCAAAAGGGUUGCAUUAGGACUGUCGAUCGAAACUGAAACUCACAUUUCACACGUGUUGCAUUUGUUUGUUUUAAGUUUGUUUUUAAGCCAGGUUUAUAUUUUGACAUUUUGAACGGUCUUUUUUGUUUUAUUCUCCUUUUUCUCGAGCAGCGACAGCAGUGAUACUUUAUGUGUGCAAUCUUCAGUUAACUCUCAUUUCGGCCAUUGGUGUCAGCUAUGCAGGUAAAUGAUCCCCACCAAAUUCCACUGCUCUUUUUCGCCUUGUUUUUUUUCCUGAAAAAAAAAAAAACUUUUCUGAGCCUCCUUUAAUUAGCGGAUAAUCUCCUCUAUGCCAGUGAUGAUUCUGCAUGCUUCGCUUCGGAAGUUGACUCCUUCGAAUCAGCCUAAUGGGAUGAACCGAAACAGAAGAUCUCAGCAUAGAAGAUUGCAAUUUUUCUCUAAAUAAAACGAUAAAAAGGAAAAAAACAAAAAAGUUAUCAGGCUCUACUAAUUAAUAUAUGCCAAGUUCAGACACCACUCAAGGAAACUUCACGGCGGCCCACAAUAAAGAUAGGAUGCAUAGGGCUUUUUUGGGCUGGUUGCGCAGUCAGAUCACAACUGUUGCGAGGGAAUGCACCAGAUAUUGCGUACGGUGGAAUAACAGUUUCAGCGGUUGUGGGCUGCCACCGAACUCCUCGAUGCCGCAGGAAAUAGGUCCAUAGAAACUCAGCAUCCACGACAACUCCGGACGCGUUGUGUUUUUCCUUCUUUCCAAGUGCUAGUUACCUGUGAUGCACAUACAAGCUACCGGCCAUCUUAAAAAGACAAAAAAAAUUCAAUUUUUGUCUGUUUCUCCAUCUGUUUGUUUUGGUUACAUGUUAGCCUGAAUGUCAGCUAGGAAUGAAAGAUUAAUGUGCAAGCCAGUUUGAAUUGGUAUGCGCGGCUUGUGACAUCAAUGUGGCGGUGGUAUGAUUAUGUUGACGAUAGCAAAGAAUGCUCCCGAAGCUUUCAUUCUUUUUGUCCGGUAAGUCCGAUGGUGCGAAUCCGCAAUGCUAUGUCAUACAGCUGCUGCGUUAAAUUCUUGCAUUUCCUCUGUAUGUUUUUAAGAGUUCUGAUGGAAAUGCUGUAAUGGAUGAUGAAGGAAAUGUAACUAUUUACCUAUGGAGGUUUUUGAGGUUUCAAACUAUUAGGUAGUGUCCAAUUUAUAGCAAUUUAUUAAAAUGGAAUAUUGAAAUUGAAGUUAUAAUCCGGUACAGGAAUGAAAAAAAGGAAAAACCUAAAAAAGUAAUGUUCAGCUCAGACAUGUUCACGUUAUUUCUUUAGAUCAUAGGCAUAACAGUGAGGAAAAAAUCUGAAUAUUUGAAUCUAUAUCUGAAAGGCUUCGACAUUUAGUUUCAAAGUCAUUUUCUCGAAAUAAGAUAAAAUCUCCUCAUAGGUAAGAUAUAUUAUUUUAACACUUUAUGAUUUCCAAGAUCAUAGAAAAAGUAGAAACAAAUCACACAAGUAAUUUUCAAUCACUGAAGAUAGGAAAUAAGUUAUCACAAGUUAACAUCCUAAAUGAUAUGCAGAUUUAAGAUCUUUCUUCUUUCAAACUGUUUUUGAUACACAUGAACUCAUUCAAUGAAUUCCGACGCACAUUAAUUCUUGAUACAAAAUUUGCUAAUUUUAAAAGAUGCAAUGGUACAAAUAUAAAAGUGGAAUAGGGAGAAUAGAUGUAACAUAUAGAUUCCAAUUUCAUUCGAGUCAUUUGAGAACUUGGCAAUGAUGUCUAUAAAAAAGGAAGAAUAACACAAAUCUAGCUCCAAAAUUGGAGCUACUUUUUAAUCCUCUCUUCGGUGAUUCUCGGCAUGCUUCAAUUAAUAAAAAGCUUUAAUAAGCUUCUCAGGAAACUAAUGACGAUCAUUAAAUCUACACUCAGGAACAAAAUCAGAUUUGAAUAUCAAGAAAACUAGUAAUAGAAUAUCACAAAUAUGCUUAAUCAAUAUGCAGAUGGCUCAAAACAUGGACUUGAUUUAAAUGAGAAAAAAUUAACUAAAGGUGGAAGCCUAGUGGAGCUCGAACUCAAAUAACUCCUGCUGUGUUACCAUGUUAAAUAAUGUGAAAUAAUCGUUAUUUAAUUUUUCUCCAAAAGCUUAAACUAUCUGAGGAAAAUGGUUGCUCCACAAUUAUUUGCCAAUAAUACAAAAAAAAAGGAAAAAAAACCAUCCUCUGAAGGUCAUCUUAUAUAUAUAAAAAAAAGAGAACCUUUUGACUGCACCAUGUAAGCUUCGCUGGUUUUCUGAUUAUCUAAUGGCAUCUCAGCAAAAUUUCAAAGCAUCUAAUUGAGAAAAAGAGAAACUGAAAAGAUUCGAACAAAAUUUGGGACCUUCUUUACAUCAUGAGAGAAAAGAUUCACAUAUUGUAGCUUGCCUUUGAAUUCGGCCGUCGAUGCUGGGAAAUUCACCUCUGGAAGCUCUGAUGCAGCUGGAGACUCCCACCGAAUCAUUUGUUGUUAAACACCAGUUCUUGACCAGGGACAGAAAAUAAGGCAAAAGUUAAAACCAUGUCAAAAUAAUGCAGGCUCAGCUUCUGCGGGCAUGAAAUCUCUAUCAAUCGCUUUCAUAACACACAAGCUUGGUCGUGGAGGUUAUUCAUAUCGUACUUCCUGUUAGUGACUAAUUAGGAGGGCUUGCCCAGUGUUAAUAAUGAGCAAGGUCUGUAAAAAGUACAUUCAUAGUGGAAGAAGCUCAACUUCUGUACGAUUGCUCAACAUCUCAGAAUCACUACCGCUAUCUUUCCCCUCAUCGUCAGGUUGGUGAGGUUCUGCGGUGUGUAUUUUGCUACCAGGAAGUGGAAAGGGCGAAUUUGUUGUCGAAACAAGCAGAUCCUCCAUGAGAGACUCAUCCACAGAAGCUUGUUCUGAUACCGCCAGUUGGAGCUUUUUCAACUGAGAUCGCUGGCACACGAUUCGCCCCUUGUUCCAUCCCGCGAAAUGAAAGGACGAAGAAGAAAUGUUAUCCUUUAGGAAUGAAAACACAGCCUUCGCUAUCGGUAGUCCUCUUGUCAUGGAACUUUUCUCCAUCUCCCCACGUCUGAUAAAACAGAGAAUUAUCAAUUUGAACAUGGGAAAUUUCUCGUCGCCAAUAAGUGAGAACUAAAGGGCGGUAGAACUAAAAGUCCUAACACCUAACACCCAGAAGAAGAUCGCAGCCGUAACGCGAAAUUGUACUGCCUCCAAUGAGCAAGCAAUCAGGAGAGGCAGCAAUCAGGAGAGGCCUUUAUUUACUAAUUGGAUGAAAAAUGGAAAGGAAAAAUAAGAAAAGAAAAGUGGAUGACAAGGAAAGUUGCAAGUGCUCACACUACAGCAACUGAAGCCAAGUGAGGAAGAUCAUCCCCUCUUUUGAACCUAUCAUAAAUGUCAUUGAGCCACACCGAUACAGCUGUGAGUGCACCACCUAUUGACAUCCUGAUAAAUGACGACAAAUUUCAGUAUUAUCCACAACAUGCUACAAAUGUUUAUCAAAUGAAACCACCGAAAGAAAUAUAAGAGAAAGCUAUGAGAAAAGAUAGACCAAGUCACCUGUGUACAUCUACAGACCACACCAGUUUGCUUUGACGGAAAAGCUCGGGAAAGAGCCCGCGUUUUGUUGCUUCGCUAAGAACCUUCGCUGCCCGGGCCUUUUGGCCCAACCACCAAAGUGCGUCCAGAAGCGCAUUGUAGAAUCUCAAACCAAAUCCACAACCUUCAGCGUUGUAUUUGUCGAAGGCAUAUUCCACCAUCUGCCAGUUGGAUUCGUCGUCAUACUCCCCUUUAAUCAUCGAGCCAAUCACCUGAUGACUGCUAGAAGCUCGAUUUGAUUUCAUUUCAUCCAGUAGUUCAUAUGCAUCAUCCCACCUGAUGUUAACGCAGAAAUAGUGAACAUAUAUGAAUAUAUAUGUAUGUUUAUUUUUCUUUUUUGAGAAAAAAUAUCAUCUAUGUUAUUCAUGGGAAGAGAGAAGUAGCUAAGAGUCAGUGAAUGUUUGGUUGGAUGUAAUUAGCAAUACAAUAUAGUUGGAGAUGCAGCAGUUACAACUACUAUCUCAUUGGGUCAGAUGUAGUAAAAAGAGCUGCAACUAUAAAUAAUUUAUUUGGUUGCAAGUAGUUGAAAAGUGCAUUGUAAAAUUUGUCACUUUAUGUGAGAUUACAUCUAAUGUACAAAAGAAAAUUAUGUUCUAUUUAAGAAGUGAUUACAGAGGUAAGCUUAUUUUUUGUUUAAAGUUACUCUCCUCAGUGGGCUAUUUGGUUGCAUGUAGUUAUAACUGCAUGCAAAUACAAAUUCGGUGUUUGAUUUGAUAUAUUUAACUUCAACUGCUGCAGUAGGAACAGCAGGAGGAAGUCCAACUGCAACAGUUGGAAUUACACUCAAAUUGACCGCAGCUCCAACUGCAGCCGCUGGAGAGAGUAACUUUAAGCAAAAUGUAAGCUUACCUCCCUAAUUAUUUUUAAACAAAAAAUAUAUAUUUUUUUACAUUGGAGCCUUGGAGGUAAUCUCACCAUCAUAUAUAUAAAAUGAUGAAAUUUUAAAAAUCAUUUCUCAACUGCAUGCAACCAAAUAAAUUAUUGUAGUUGCUGUGCUUUCUACUACAUCAAACCAAACAGGAUGCAUAUAGUUGCAAUUUCUGCAUUUUCAACUGCAUGCAUCUCCAAUUGCACUGCAUUUGUAAUUAUAUCUAACCAAAUGGCCCCCAAAUGCUGCAAUUGGAAUUUUGCCUAAGGAGGCCCAAUUGCUGCAAUUGGAACAGUUGGCCGCAGUUCCAACUGCAGCAAUUAGAUUCAAAUGCAUCAAACCAAAUACCGGAUUUGGAUUUGCAUAUAGUUACAAUUGCAUUGCAGUUGCAACUACAUGCAACCAAACAGGCUCUAAGUGGGUUUGGAAUGAUGCCAAAACAAAAAAAACAAAUGAGAGCAUCUUGAAGAUACACCUGCUAUAAAAUACUAUGAUCCCUAGAAGCAAAUGGAAGAUAAAAUAAGGAACAAGAUCAUGUUCACGCAUAAAGACAACUACACGUAACAUAAACGAUGAUAUCUACUUAAGGCAACGUACUGCUCUUUUGUAAUAAUCAUACGAGACAAUGACACUGUCAAAACAGCUGGUUGCGCUAGUUACAUAAAGUAACAAUACCAAGACAAAUUUCUACCACAAUAAUACUAUUUGCAUUAAAUGCUGCGUAGAACUUGAACAUCGCAUAACAAAAUGGAAGCAUUUAGUUGGUAAGAAAAAGAACAAGAUGCUAGCAUACUCAAACAAUGCAAAAUAAAAAAUAAGAAACACUAUAGAUUAUAUUCUAGCAAACAUUUAGCAUUAUAGGCUACUAAAAAUUGCUAUUAAUGACGAGUAGCUGAGUGCUGUUACAUACACUUCAACACUGUCAUCACCUCCAUCCCCAAAUUGAUAACUGUUUACAUUUUUCUUCUUAAUAGACAGGGGUGACAGAGCUAAAACAGCAGACCUCUCUAGUUACAAUAAAAACUGCAAUAGCAAGACUUAAUCAAUGUGCAUAAACAAUAUCAAAUGGUUGUGGCUGUCCCAAUGUUACAGAUGACAUAUGAUCCAUUACAGAACUGAAAUAUUACACUCUUGAAUGGAAGUACCCAAAUUCCAAAGUAAAACAAGCUAAUUUAAAUAAACAAAGCAAAGUAAUGACAAACAGCAGAAGGUCAUACUUUGGUGGACAUGUACCAUCAUAAGCUACGUCACUAUUGCAGAUCAAAAUGUAGGUGAACGUUGUUACGAUGAAUUGAUUUCUUUUUUUUCCCUAACAAAUUAUCUUGAAUUGAUUAAUGUGCUUUUUUUUAGAAUUUGCAUAUUUAAUGUGCCACAAGUUACAAUGCACUAUCUGUAUAGACAGAGUAGAGGGUAAGAAAGGAAACCAAAUUAGCAUGUUUACUUCACAUAUCAAAACAAAAUUAGCAAUUUCUACAAUCGUACUGAUUUCAUGUACUGUAACUUGAUGAAAAAGCUUAAUUAUAAUAGCAAGUACUAUAUAUGUUUGCAAUGAUAAACAGUAUCAAAGCACAUCACAUACUUGAAGGCAAACAUUUAUUGAAAUCGGCGAAAUAUAACAAGUGCAGCUGAUUUGGGUUUAAGAUCAAAGACCAAAAUACUACUGUAGUGAAAAGGAAUAAAUAAGAUAUAGCUGUAGUACUAUCACAGGCCACUAAAAUAUUGCAAAUCAAGAGUAGGAGAAUCUUUUUAUAGAUGCUUCAGUAUCAACCAUCAAUUCCAACAAUAUAAACUUGGCAAGAGAAAAGCACGAAAUUGAGAUAGCAUCACCUAACAAUGUUGUGGCUACUCGUGUGAUAAAUAUUUUGUGAACUCCUCUGAUAGAUAUAGGAGUUGACAACCAAAGAAAGUGACUCACUAUGAGUAACUUAGAAGGGCAUGAGCAUGCACUUUCCAACCGAUAUCGUCAACUCAUUUGAUUAGCUGACUCAAAGCAUGCCUCCUUGCAUUCAGACUAGGGCUGUAAAGAUAGGUAAGUUAGUCUCCAUACAAACAACUUGAAUUUCAGCCAUCUCAAUUUGGAAUUGGUUUUUCUUUUUUCCCCAUGAGUGAACAUGAUUUCAUAAUGCAGGCCAAUUUCAUUUGGUGCCUCUUCUUGAUGCUAUUGUGAGACCUUCGAUCAGAGCACCUGCUUGAUGUCCUUCUGUAAGGGCCUCAGCUUUCCACUGAUAUUCAAGUUUCAUACAAGAAAUGUGGUCCAGAACAUAAUUAGGAAACACACCCCUGAAUUUCUCACUGCUCUCUAAUUCAGAUUCUGAUCUAAAUAUAUCCUACAACAUUGUUAGCUCAUAUAGUAAAUAAAAAAUGCUCUGUCAUUUGCUAGUUGGGUCUCACAAAUAUCGCAGGCUAGAUGUGUGAACUUGCAGUUAGUUUGACCUGCAAUGUAAAAAACUGAAAACGCAGACUUUGCAUAUGGCAAUACCUAUUAUUCUGAGAAUCUAAUGUUUAAAAACUCAAAUCCCCUCAGUAUGAACAGCUAGCAGGACUUUAAAUCUGCUUCAUUCCCUUAAAUAUAGUUCUCAUUAUUGAUAUUCUACGAGAGUAUUCAGUGUAAACAUAUAAAGAUAAGUGAGUAUCUUAACAGGUGUUAGUUGCCAUGACAGCUGCCCCAUAUGUAUAAUUAGACUGAAAGCUUGUGCCGUUGCUCAUGCUAUAGUAGCCAAUUUAUUGCAAGUCAUACCUUAAAAGAAAUCUACUUCAGACUAUACUGUUGAGAUUCAACCACAUCAAAUGGAAUUGAAGCAUUUUAAUGGAUGAUGUCUGCAUCUAUCUAUAAACAGUAAAGUUGUCUCAUACAAUCUGACAAGAAAAGUUGGCGUUCACUCAGCUCCGAUUUCUAGAGAGCAUGCCGAUUUUUCUAUGCAGGACUUGAAGGAAAUAUCUGAUUAUCAUGCUUACUUCAGUAACUACUUGAAUCAUCAGAGUAGGAUUGUAAUUCACAUACGCUUAUACAAGUGAUAACAUUCAAAUUAGUUCCAAGAUACUAAAAGGAAGCGGAAUCCUCUAAAUUUUGCGGAGAAAUAGGAUAUAGUUUAUUAUGUAACAACAAAGAAAACAAGAAUAAUAACACAGGAAAUUUCAAAGACAAAAAGGCCAUACUAAAAAAUUCGCAUGCCCCCUAAAAGUAGUCACUUAGCAUAAUUAUGCACAAACAGCUAAUUAUUCCAGGCAAAUGAACUGAUAUAAAGAGUUUUUCCCGCUGCGAAAAUAUUUGCUAACAACGACCUUUCUGGAAAAGGGAAAAGAACGUCGUAUUUCAAAUUUCCUAUUCUGAAAAGCUUCUGCAAGAAAAUGAACUGUUGUGUCAUCAACUUUUCCAUGAUAAGGGUGGCUUAUUUGCAGUUCACUUAGUUGCAGUUAUGAUGAGUUGAUAGGUGAUGAAAGUAUAUCUCCACUCAUUUGGCAUUAUCCACUAGUUUAAGAUCAAAUAAAUACCCUGCCUGGCACUAAAUUACGGAACAACACGACAGAUUAUUCUAACACUGCACAUUGGCAAGCCCUAGGCCCUAGCACCUCGGCAAAACCUCCUACAAAUAUUAUAGUGUUAUCUACCGCAUCAUAUUAAGCAUCUUUAAUGAGGAAUUUUCAUAGCAAUACAUUAGAAUAUCAGAAAGAUUAAUGGGCAAAGAGAGGUUGCGGACCGAAAACAAGGAAAGAAAGGAAUAUAAGACGUUGAUUAGGGACUAAUUACCUGUCAUUCUUAGCAUACAGAGAGAGGAGCAUGCAGUAAGCCGUGAUGCUGGGCACGACCCCCAUUGCCUGAAUUUCUUGGAACUGCUCCUUGCUCUCGUCGACAAGCCCGGCCGUGCAGUAGACGUUUAGAACCGCCUCGAGAGUCCGCUCGUUCGGAUUGCACCUCGACUUGCGCAUUUCCACAUACGCCUUCAGGGCAUCCUCGAAGUGCCCGCCCUGGCAAUACGCUUCGAUGAGCCCGUUGAACGAGUCCUCGUUUCUCUGAAUCCCGGCUCCGUCCAUCCGCGCGAGGAUCGCCUGCGCCUCCUUGAAGAGGCCGCCUCUCGCGAACGAGCGCAGCAGGGAAUCGUAGGUCUCCGCGGUCGGGGGGCUCCCGAUCUCGUGCAUCGUGUUGAAAGCAACGAAAGCCUCCUGGUACAGCGCCGCCUGCCCGUAAGCCUCGACGACUCCGGUGUACGCCUUGGCGCUGGGCACGAGCCCUCCGGCGGUCAUGUGGGCAAGAACGGCCUUGGCGUCUUCGUGGAGCCCGCCCCUGCCGCAGGCGGAGACGACGCCCUCGUAGGUCUCCAUAUUGGGCUCCACAUUCUCCUCCAGCAUGUCGCGGAACAGCGUGACCACCUCCCGGAAGUAGCCCCCCUCCCCGAAAACUGCGAUCAGGAUGUUGUAGGUGGCGGCGUCGGGGGCCGUGCCGCCGACCUUCAUCUCCAGGAAGAGCUCGCGGACGUCGUCGUAGCGCCCGCUGCGGCCGUAGAGGCCGAGCAGGAGGCUGUAGGUGGCGGCGGUGGGGGCGCAGCCGGCGGCCUGCAUCUGGCGGAGCACGGCGACGGCCUCGCGGGCGGCGCCCCGGCGGGCGUAGGCCUCGACGAGGACGUUGUAGGCGUCGGGGUCGUCGCGGGGGAGGUGGCCGCCGGCGGCCAUCUCGGCGAGGAGCUGGGGGACGCGGUCGAGGCGGCCGGCGGCGGCGAAGGUGUCGACGAGGCGGGCGUGGGUGGCGCGGUCGGGGGCGACGCCGGCCUCGAGCAUGGCGCGGAGGACGAGCUCGGCCUGGUCGGGGAGGGCGCGGGCGGCGGCGGCGGCGAGGAGCGUGUUGUAGGUGACGAGGUCGGGGCGGACGCCGUCGUGGCGCAUCUCGGCGAAGAGGGAGAGGAGGCGGUCCCAGGGGAGGUCGGCGCGGGCGCAGGCGCGGAGCGCGGUGUUGUAGGUGAGCGCGGUGGGGGCGACGCGGUCGCGGCGCAUCUGGGCGAGGAGGGAGAGCGCGGCGGCGUGGUCGCCGUUCCGGGCGAAGGCGUUGACGAGGGCGGUGUAGGAGAGGGCGGUGCGCGGGACGGAGUGGGCCGGCAUGUCGCGGAAGACGUCGAGGCACUUGUCGAGCAGGCCCUCGCGGCCCAGCACGCCGAUGAGGAUGGCGUGGAUGUGCUCGUCGGGGCGGCACCACGACUGCCGCUGCAUGUACUUGAAGAGCCGGAGCGACCGCUGCCAGUCGCCGCGCCGCGCGAACUCCCGGAAGACCAGCGCGAAGUCCGCGAGGGACAGCCGCUGCCGGAACGCCUCCAGGCAGCGCGCGAUGCUGCCGCGCGGCGGCAGGCUGCUCAGCUUGUCGAUCAGCGUCUCCACGUCGUACCCGUACUUGCCCUUCUCCACCGCCACCGUCGGCUUCCCCAGCACCAUCUCCCGCGGCGCCGCCCUGCUCCUCCCCCCCGAUGCCGACGCCAAAACUAACCGAUGACCAGGCCGAGCCCGAGGCCGCGCCCGCGCCCCCGAAUUUGCAAUAAUAAUAGUACAUGAGGAUGAUGAAGAGAAUAAUAAUAAGGAGGGGGCGGUGAGGAGGAGGAGGGACAUUUCCCUACUGUUUUUGCUGAUUCUUUUUUUGCUGCCGAGUUGUUGUUGUUUUGUCUUGGAUUUGGGAAGGAAGAAGGUGGUGUCGGUUUAGUUUAAUCCUCCCGUCCGGCCGGCGCGGGAUGGAGCAGAGCCAGAGCUGGGGAGGAGAGCUGACUGACUGCAGUGGCUUUGGGAGGGCGGGGUUUUACAGUUGGAAACGCUGCGCGUUUGUGUGUGGAUAACGAUGGGUUCAAAAAUCAACAUUCGUUCGAGCCGACCAGUGCUGCUGGGCGCCUAGUGCAAAGAUUAUUAUGCCAUUCUGGUCCGCAAGAUGGUUGCUGGCUGGUCCUAAAACCGAAGGAAUAAAAAAAAAAAAAAAAAAAAAACUUUUCGAUCACAGUUAUUUUAUGUGAAUAUACUACUGUAUAAUUAAAGAUAAUUUUAAUAUGGACAAAUUAAAUUUUUGAUCCUAAAACUAUACCGUGCUUGAUAUUUUGAUUUCCAAAUUUUAAUUUAUUGCACAGUUUAAACUUUUUGAAUUAUUAAAAUCAACUCUAUAAUUUAAUUUAGUUGACUAAAUAUAGAUAAAUUAUUAAUUUGAAGAAAUGCAACAUGACUUUUUUAUAAAACAAUCCUCUAAAAUUUUAAAAUUUGCAAAAUAGCCCUCUCAAAAUUUUAUUUGUAAAACUAACAAUCUUUUCGCCACAUCGGUGCCACGUCAGAAUUUCUUUUAAAGGCGGUGAAUCGUUCACCGCGUUCUCCCAUUUUUUUUAAAGGCGGUGAAUCAUUUACUGUUUUCUCCCAUUUCUUUUAAAGACGGUAAAUCAUUCACCGCCUUUCAUUUAUUUACUGUUAUUUUCUAUAUCACAUAUAUAAUCCUAAUAACCACAUAAAAAUUCUAACAAAUCACAUAUAAUCUUAACAACUUUUAAAUCUUAAUAAUUUAUCCAUAUAAUUUCAUAUAAUCUUAACUGCCUUUAUAUGAACUUAUAUUGAUAAAUUAUAUAAAGGCAGUUAAGAUUAUAUGAAAUUAUAUGGAUAAAUUAUUAGGAUUUAAAAGUUGUUAAGAUUAUAUGGAAUAUAGAAAGAAACAGUAAAUAAGUAAAAGGCGGUGAAUGAUUUACCGUCUUUAAAAGAAAGGCGAGAAAGCGGUGAACGAUUUACCGCCUUUAAAAGAAAUAGGUAAAAGCGGAAAACGAUUCACCGCCUUUAAAAAAAAAUAAGAUAAAACGGUGAACGAUUCACCGUCUUUGUAAGAAAACCCCGACGUGGCGUCCACGUGGUGAAAGAAGGGUUAGUUUUACAAAUAAAAUUUUUACAUAGUCAUUUUGCCAAUUACAACUUUUUAGAGGGUCAUUUUAUAAAAAAAGCCCAAUGCAACACCUUAAUUAUUGUGUUAUUAUCAAUCACAAUGCUUUCAUGUCACUUCUAUAUCAAUAAUUUAUCAAUAUUUUGCCAAUUAAAUUAGAUUGUGGGAUUUAAUUGCGAACAAUUCGGAUAGUUUUUUAAAUAAGAAAUUAUAAUAAAUUAAAAUUUAAGGACCAAAGUAUCAAACGCCUUAUAGUUUGAGGACCAAAAGUGUAAUUUAUCCUUUUAAUAUAUAUUUAUAAAUAUGAGAAUAAAGAUUUUUAAAUAUAAUUUUAAUAUACAAUUAUCAAAUUAUUUAUGAUUAGGUUUUUUCGGCCAAUUUGUAUAAAAAAAUUUAUUAGUUUUAAGCUUUUGCAAAAAAUAGGUCACUUUUUAGAUUUUGCAGAUUCGGACCGAAUUUUUAGAAAAUUGACCAAAAUACUCUUAUCUUUUUUCUCUCUCCUUUUGUUUUUUCUCAUUCUUUAUUUUCUUUCUCUUCGAAGAGGACACUGCCAAUUUGGACAGUCCGGGUCCGAAAUAGACCCGCCGAACGGAUAGAGUUUUUUCUGUCCAUCUAAGGCGUAAACAAAGUCUGUGCAUACAUACAUACACAGAUGCAAGAGAAAUAAAGCUAUCUAUUACAUCACGUUUUCACAUAUCUAGUUCACAUGAAACUAGCAUAUUCUCACAAUAUGUCAACAUGCAUAUGUCCUCUAGCAUCUCAUGCACAUAUCUAGUAUUUCUCACAAUAUGCCCACAUGCAUAUGUCCUCUAACAUCUCAUGCAUACACAUAUAUACAUCUAGCUCAACAUCAUGCAAAUAAUAUACAUCUACAAGUAUCAUGCAACACUAGUUAAGGACCCGCGCUUCGCGGCGGACGAAUAAAAAAUAUUAAACCAAAAAAACUAUUUGUAUAAAUUUUUUAAUAUUAAAGAUUCGGACAAGUCUGAGAACAUAACAAAAUAAAUGUCUAUUCAUUAAUGACAAAAAUCUGAAAAAAAUGCAGAAGUAAUAAGUAGAAUAAAUUUAUUAUAUCGUCAUGGUUCGCUCUUGCUAUUGCUCGGGCCAUCAUCUUCUGCAAAUCUAUGAGAUUCGGUCAUAUCUGAGAACAUAACAAAACCCGCUCUUCGCGGCAUACGAAUAAAAAAUAUUAAACAAAAAAAACUAUUUGUAUAAAUUUUUGAAUAUUACAAGAUUUGGUCAAGUCUGAAAACAUAACAAAAUAGAUGUCUAUUCAUUAAUGACAAAAAUCUGAAAAGAUGCAUAAGUAAUAAAUAGAAUAAUUUUAUUAUAUCAUCAUGGUUCACUCUUGCUAGUGCUCGGGCCAUCAUCUACUGCAAAUCUAUGAGAUUCAGUCAUGUCUGAGAACAUAACAAAAUAAAUGUCUAUUCAUUAAUGACAAAAAUCUGAAAAGAUGCAUAAGUAAUAAGUAGAAUAAUUUUAUUAUAUCGUCAUGGUUCGCUCUUGCUAUUGCUCGGGCCAUCAUCUUCUGCAUGCGAGGCUCAGAACAGUGGAUCUCUAAGUAAAGAACUAUGGCAAAUUCCGCAUAAACGAUAACGCUGCAACAAAUAGCCGCAGGCUACAGAGAUUGAACUGAGCCCUCAAGGUCUGCUGGAAAUCGAAGACAGCUGAUAUUACACCAAGCCUGUAGGGCCUGCCUGGAGGCCAGAAUUGCAAGCCCCCUAAGCUAAAGGUAAAUGGUAGAUACUAUGGGCCAGCAGGAAUUGUCCAAAGACUGCAUCGACUGCCCCGAGGCCAUUCGACCUAGGCAGAACUGUGGAUCUCCUAAGCAAAGGACUACGCCAAAUACCAUGUGGACAGUAACUUUGCAACAAUUAGCGACCGGCUGUAGGGACUGCCGCGAGACUGCAGGGGCUGCCUCGAGACCAUGCGCGCGACCUGCCAUGCCGUUGCAGAUAAUUUCUGUAGGGAAAGACAACCUCGGCAAACUGUCCAUUUCAUCAUCGCCUCGCAUUAAAGAGCGAAAGGAAAAACAACAGCAAACAAAGAAGUUAUAAAAAAUAUAAAAGAAUAAGUAGGAAAACCGAGGUAUCUUAAAAAUUCCAUCCAAAACCAAAUUGUAAAACCCAGGUAAAAGCAGGAAAUUAUUAACAGCAACUUGGCAACAAAUAGCCACAGGCUGCAGAAAUUGUCGUAAGACAGUAGUGACUGUCCCGAUGCAAUUCAAUCUGCCAUGCCAUUGCAGGCAAAUUCAACAUCUGAAAACAAAUUCAAUAGAGAAGAUAACUCUCACAAACCGUCCAACAGCAAAUAGAGAAAAAUCCGAAAAAAAAUAUAAGAGUAUAAGAAGGAAAACCGAGAGAUCACAAAAAUCUCAUUUUAAAAAAAUUCUAAAACCCAGACCAUAAACAAAGCAACCAUUAGGCAUCCAACAACCCAAGCAACAUGAAAUUCCAAACGCAAGACAACAUGAGAAGAGAACAGGAAGAAGCCGAAGAAUCCAUCAGAAGACCAGACCUCCACUGUGCGGGCAAUCACGGCAUGAAAAAUAUCAGAGAUAGAAACCUAUUUGCAAGUUGGGAAGAAAGUGGGCAAGGAACUUAUCAACCAAGGGAGGUUAUAUAUAAACCAGUGUGAGAACAAAGCAAAAGGAGUGAGAGGAGAAGGAAGGUAAAGCGUCGUGGCCGAGCGGCGUAGUAUACUGUUAUGAUGAGACCCACGCCGCUCGAUAAUGGAAGGGCGUACGGCGCUGCAGCUCACCAAUCUCUGGGAAGCGACGGCCCCGCAGCGAGCAUUAAAUGCCCAAAUUUGGGCUAGAGAAUGGCAGAUCGAGGGGAGAUCUGCCAGAUCUACGGUAGAGAAUGGGGGAAGGCAAGCCUCGUCCGAAUGGCAUUUAAUGCCCAGAUCCGGGAUAGGUAGAGGCGUACGGGACAGGCCAGAACCAUCUCCGGAAAACCGGCGAUUCCAGAUCUAAGCUAAAGAAGGGGGAAGCCAAUCUCCGGCCGAACGGUAUUUAAUGCUAAGAUCCGGGGUAGAUAGGGGCAUACAGAGCAAGCCGGACCCAUAUCCGAAAAUUUGGAGGUUCGACGGCACAUUAAAUGCCAAGAUCCGGCGAAGUGGCGGUUAAGCGGCGUAAGGUACAACCCCUACAGAUCCGGGUUAGACAGGGGCGUACGGAGCAAGCCGGACCCAUAUCCGGGAAACCGGAGGUUUGACGGCACAUUAAAUGCCAAGAUUCGAUGAAGCGGCAGUUGAGCGGCGUAAGGUACGACCCCUACAGGGAGGUCGGUAGAGAGAGAGAGAUUGAAGGGAUUGGAGGGAGGAGUGGAGGUGCCAGGGAGAGGGGACCCACGGGUCAGAUGGGUGAGAGAGAGGGAAAAAAAAUUGGAGAGCGGGGGCGUAGCACAGUAUAGGGGGGACCCACGGGUCAGAUGGGUGAGAGAGGGAGAAAAAUUUUUUUGGGGGCCCACAUCACCGAAAUGAAGGAGAAACUGCAAAAUGGUUAAGGGUUCGCCCUUUAAUGUUAUUGUAUAGAUGGAUCAUCAUCCCUGACACUAAAGAAUGAAUUUACUAAGAACUCAUAGGUUUCUCACAUAAUCCCAAGCAUGAUGCUAUAUGAUCAAUAUGCAGAACUUACACAUAGAAUCAAAUUUGGCUAAUUCGGAUAGCACCUCUCGCUUCGUGUCGACAGAGGCGGAGACGGCGCGCCUCGCCUUUGUCCUGCGUGCUCUGGCCCGCGCAUGCACACCAUCCCUCCACCUUCCUCGCCUCCGACCCCGCCGACGCUGUGCGAUGACCCUCUUUUCUUCUUUUUUUUUUCUCUCUGACCCACAUCCACCGUCUACCCGGCUCUUUACAACAGUAAAGAAGGCAGCGUCUUGUUCUCUUCCUCUCCCUUUUCUCUCUCGUUCUUUUUUUUUUCUCUUUGACCCUCCUCCACUGCUUCCGCGACCUUCCACGAUGGUAGCGAGGACAGCGCAGCAUCCUCUUCCUUCGCCUUCGCCAGCGCAGGCUUUCACGCCCUGGGAUCCCUUUUUGUAAGCCAUUUUGAAAUUGGACUAUCUUUGUAAAUCAGAGUCUACGAAAAAGAGCCAAUUUUUUUUAACAUUGACCUAGGAAUGUAAUAGACCCGCCACAAAUACAGAAAACUCUCCGUUCCAAACUGAUGAAGUCUCCCCUGUAUUUGCAUGGCUUAGCACAUAAUACAAGUAUCAACCAUGACCUCUACUCACACAAACAAUAUUCAUGAGUCACAAGAAUUAUCAUUUCAAGUUUCACAUUCAUUCCUACUAGUUAAAAGUGCCUCCCACCUGAAGGCUUCACUUUUAAACUUUAGUUUUCUGAAAAUCCACAAAAAGCCGAAAAAUCAUUUUAAAAAUUGUUUCCUACAUGAAAACUUUUGUUUUGGAAAUACUACCACGAGGGGUAGAAAAUCACAUUCUGAAAUCCGAAUCCAAAGUCAUAGUGUCCAAAAACCACGAAUAUUCUAAAAAUCCAGAGUAACCAAAAACUCAUAAUUAUGUCAUCCAAGAAUCCGCGAAUAAAAAUCAUCAACUGAACUACAUAUAACAACUACUAACAGGUAUAGAGGGUAAACUAUACUAUCUCAUGUAUACAAUAAGCGUCAAAUCAGAAUUGAUACCGUAAGGUCGGGAUCUCUAUCUCACGCUAUUUAUAGCCUCACGCAUCAUCCCAACCCUCACCAUCUAAGCUACCUGAAAAAAAAAAAGUGGGGGCUGAGAACAUGUAAACAAGUCUCCCCUUCCCAGUGGUAUCACAAAUCGACGAAGGCAAACUGCACACUCUCACAAAUGGAAGGGAUAAACAACGAUAGUGUCACGCCUCGGGGUCUCUUUUAGUUUGAAACACAGCGGAAAAGCAUCUAAAUUUUUUUUUGAAAACCUGACCCUAGAGUAUGCCAGAUUUGCCACAAACACAAGAAAUCUACUGUUCACACAGACAGAGUCUUCCCUGUAUUUGCACGGCGUCGCACAAGUACAAGAUGUUCAAACAGAGUAUAACCAGGAUACAAUCAUAAUACAUGAAUAUACAAUACACAACAUUUAUUCACCAUUCAUCAGAUAUUUACCAUUCAGUGUUUAAGCAUAAAAACCACGAGAAAACUCUUUUGAAAGCUCUUUUCCACACAGAAACCUUUUCUUUUUAAAACACGCUACCACGAGGGGUAGAAAACUAUUUUUCCUUUUCACAAAAUCCACGAGUUCUAUAGUUCAUUCAAAACCACAUGAAUUCGAAUAAUAUAAACCAACUGAACCAUGAAAUAUUAAAGCUAUUAAUAACAAAAGUAAACAGGGUAGGAACUAAACCAACAAACUGGGUCGGAAGCUCUAGCAACCACUACAAAUGUGUCUCACGUCUCGUCUCAACUCUCAGCGCUCGCGAUACCUGAAAAAUGGUGGGGGAGGUGAGAACAUGUAAACAUGUCUCCUCUCCCAGUGGGUACCGCAAGCCGAUGAAGGCGAGGAGUACUCACCGGAUCAGGAAGAGAUAAACAACAAUAUGGGUAAGCUUAAAUGCAGUAGCAACGAUAAUGAACGAAAGUUUUUAUAUCUUAUUCCCGCCUGCGCGUUUUCGUGUUUUUAAGGUCGGUUUGUUUUCUGGAUCAGAACAUAGUUAGUUAAUUCACGAAUUAUUCGCGAAUUUUUUAAAUGCCAAAUUAAACACAGAAUAAUUCGCGGUUUUUUGAGCAAAAAUAAUUAUUCGCGAAUAAAACGGGAUUCACGAAUAAUUCGGUCCAAAAAAAAAGGCCCUCUUGCUUGCGACUGUGAGCGGACUUGUGGGCCUCGCGAUGGCCCAAAACAGAAAAAAGAACCUGUCGCCCAAAAAUAGAAAAAAAGAAAAGAAAAGAAAGGAUUUCUGAAAACCAUCGCCCCCCUCCCACGAGGCGACGACUCCCACGCUCCCACCCCGACCCCUCCCAAAAAAAAGGGUUUGCCCUAACUUCUCACUCCUGCGGCGGUGCGGCCCUGCCAUCGACCCCUGCGGCGGUCUCCCUCUUCCCUUCCGGCCGCUCGCCGAUCGCCAUCGGAAGCCCUCCUCUUCAGAAGUCGAAGAUCGAAGAUCGGGUUCUUCACUCUUCAGAAAUCGAAACCCUCCUCGUCGCCUCUUCCUCUCCCGCUUCCGCUUCCUCUCCCGCUUCCGCUAUCCAACGAUAGAUCAGUAAUCGGGUGGUUCUUUACAAACCAGGUACGAUUUGAGUUUUUUUCAUUCUUCAAAGAAAAAGUUGAAAGCUUUUAGUCAUCUGAUGGAUACUUUUUUAUACACAAAUGGCGCCUCGAGUGCUUAAAUUGAAUGUGUCCAUUCUCUGUUAUGCACAAAGAAGACCCAAACAUAGUGCUAAAUAAAUAAUCUUAAUUAACUUUGGGACCAGGAACUCUUGUAUUAUACCUAAUCAAUUUCAUGAUCUUUGUCGACACUUGCAAAAGGAAAAUUUUGUUGUGGUCUUUCAUGGACCAUUGACUCACUGGGGUUUCUACUUAAUUUUUGAGACAUAACUUUGGGACCAGGUACUAUUUGAGUUUUCAUUCUUCAAAGCAAAAGUUGGAAGCUUUUACAUUUAAAUAUGGACUAUUUUGAUCACUUAUUUGCUUAAUUAUUUCUUUAUUUUGAGGCAUAAUAUAGUUUACUAUUUUUUUUUACUUAAUUAGUUUAAUUUUUUAGGUUUUUAUUUUUAUAUUCUUAAAAAAUAUGAGUAUUUAUGCUAAUAGCAUAAAUCUUGAGAGGAAAAAAAUUUAAUUUAAUAGCCGAAUUUUUGAUCCCGAAUUUUUAAUUGGUGAACGUAUAAUAUCCGUAUAAAUCACGUAUCCGAAUAAUUGGCGAAUCCGUUUUUUAGCCUUUUUUUCAACGAAUUUAAAAAUUAGAAAACGAAUUUUAUCCGAAUUAUACCCGUACCGAAUUUUUGCCGAAUCCGAAUUAACUAACUAUGCUCUCAACCUCGCACACGAUGGCCAUACUGGGAAGGAUUGUUCGCCGAGGUGAUCCCUCUUGACGUCGCACCUCCGCGGCGUCUCUGCCCUCCUCUCCCGCUUUCGCGCUAAGAUCUCCAAACUCCGCUUCUUCCUCCGCCAUCCGUCCCCUCUCUGCUCGAAGCAAGCGCACAUCAACCGCCUCUAGUGCCCCUUCUGCGCCCUCGACCUCCGCGAGCUCGCCAGCGCCUUCGCAUGGUACCCCCCCACUUCUCGAUGCUCCUAGAUCUAGGGUUUUGUGAGAUUCCAUGUUUGAUGUGGGUUUCAAUGUUUCAUCAUUUUGGUUGUUGUGAUUGAUUAUUCGCAAUAGCAACGCGAUCCAUCAUUUGGCAAGCGAAGAACAUCUGAGGAACUAGCUUGAUCAAGUCGAUUUGUUUAGUGUUUUGGAGGCGGAGCUGCUCAAGGUGAGUGCAUGAUUCAAUUUGAAGUAAUUUUUUAAUGAUUUUUGGCCUCUGAAAUUUCUAAAGUAGAAGCUAGCUUGAUCCUGGUGUUUAUUUGCAUCAAGUAAAUUUAAUGCUUGUUAAGUUUACUCUAUGACCGUAAAGUAAGUUGAACUAGAUGCUAAUUAGAUGCACUACGACUGUAAAGUAAGUUAGUUUUCUAAGGACACUAUUGUGAUUUCAUGUAGUUCAUGAAAAUAGUUUCCUCAAUGUUGAGUUUUUUUAAUGAGUUUUUGUACAUAUACUUCCUUAUAUUUUUUUUUCAGAUAUAUAUAUAUAUAUAUAUAUAUAUAUAUAUAUAUAUAUAUAUAUAUAUAUCAUUGUUUGAGAAGGAUUUUAAGUGAAAUUGUUAUUUUUGUAUAAAUUAUUUGAUAAAGUCAGCUAAAGAUGUACAACGAUUGAAGUGGCUAGAUUCGUGUUGGAGUUUUCCUAAUUUGAAGAAAUUAAAUUUAUUUUGAGUAUAUUAAAUCAUAAAUGACAAAAAUUUCAAAGAAAAUAAAAAUUCAACUAUUUUGCCUCCAAUUUAUACAAGAUCACUUUUGACAAAGUGCAAGAAAAAAUAAAAUUUAAAAGUAUUUGAGAAGAAUUUUUAGAGUUUUUGAUGGAUGAGAAGUGAGUUAGGGCGUAAACGGCGUAAAAACAAAGUUUUAGAAUGAGAAAAAAGAACCGGAUACGACUUACCUAUUUGGCAAAGCCCUCGAACAAAUAUUAAUUUUUUUCCUUUAAUUAAGUUUUGCAUUUGGUUUUUAACUUUGUGAGCUUAAAAAAAUUGAAAAACUAGACUAGAUUUAUAACGUCACUCCUUGCAGGAGGAUGCUCUAUGUGCUCCAUAAGUGUUAUAACUAUAUUUUCUUUUGUUCCUUUUAUAGGUUAUUUAUAUAUAUUCAAAGUUAUAAUUCCUAAUGAUGGAUAAAAGUUGGAUUAAUAAGCCGAGAAAUACCAAGGAUUAUCUCGAUGGAGUUGCUAAUUUUGUUAAAUCAGUAAAUGAGAAGGCCUCUAUUAAUGGAAAGAUUUAUUGUCCAUGUUGAAAAUGCUUUAACCGUUCCUUAUAUAUUUGUUUCAGAAAUUGUUGAGGAACAUUUGGUGUGGAAUGGGUUUUUUUUAGGCUACAUUGACUGGGUCCUUCAUGAGGAGUCAUUGUCUGGGGCAUCAAAUGAAGCUCAUCAUAGCCAAGACAUCCAAUUUAAUUUAGGAUCUACUAAUGUGCAAGACCCUAUAGGACGAUGCUAUGUGAAAAUUGUAUCAACCGGUCCUCGUCGAGAAUUGGUUUAAGAUGUUUUUGGAUUUAAUUCUGAAAAUUUAGGGCAAUCAAGUGAUAAUGAUGACAUCAAAUAUUUGGGUGAAUCUAGUGAAGGGCAACAAGCAAACAGUGCAUUCGAUAGGUCCAUGCCUUCAUCUGAUAAAGACACAGCUCGGUAUCGCAACUUGUUACAAGAUUGUGAUAAAGAACUUUACCCAGAUUGUAAAAGUUACUCAAAAAUAUCUUUUCUUGUCCACCUAUUUCAUCUCAAAUGCUUGUAUGGGUGGUCCGAAGAGUCUUUCUCUAUGUUGCUUGAACUAUUAAAAGAUGCAUUUCCGGAAGGCACUUCUUUACCAUUAUCCUCUUAUGAAGCUAAAAAACUGAUAAAAGAAUUGGGUCUUGGGUAUGAGAAGAUUCAUGCUUGUAACAAUGAUUGCAUGUUGUAUUGGGGUGAAAGGGCGAAUCAAGACUCUUGUCAUGUAUGUGGUUCUUCAUGAUGGGUCAAAAAUAAAGAUUGUGACACUAACUUUUUGAGUAAAAAGGAUAAUAUGCUCAGUAAAGAAAAGGCAGUCAAGGUAUUGCGCUAUUUUCCUCUUAUUCCACGAUUAAAGCAACUUUACAUGUCAUCAAAGAUCGCUGCCUCUAUGAGAUGGCAUAUUGAGGGCCGCACAAAAGAUGGAAACUUACGACACCCAACAGAUGGCUUAGUAUGGAAAUCAUUUCUCUCGUUAUCGAGAUUUUGCUUUUGAUCCUCGCAAUGUUAGGCUCGGUCUCGUUAGCGAUGGAUUUAAUUCAUUUCAAACAAUGAAUUCCACUUAUAACACUUGUCCAAUUCUGUUGAUUCCAUAUAAUACCACCAUUGUUGUGCAUAAAACGAUCAUUAUUUAUCUUAUCUAUAGUAAUUCCUAGUGAAAAAGGUCCUGGUAAUGAUAUUGAUAUUUAUUUGUAACCUCUAAUAGAAGAAUGAAAACAGUUAUGGGAAGGUGUUGAAGCUUUUAAUGCUUUUAGCAAGCAAAAUUUUAAUUUGCGAGGAGCUCUUCUUUGGACGUUUAGCGAUUUCCCAGCAUAUGCCAACCUAUCUGGUUGGAGCACUAAAAGGCGCGUUGCUUGCCCUUGUUGUGGAAAUUCAACUUAUUCAUGUUGGUUAAAGCAUGGGGGAAAGUUUUGUUACAUGGGUCAUCGCCAAUGGUUGGACAAACCAUCUUUUUAGAUUUCAAAAGAUUUCGCUCUGGAAACGACAUCAUCAUAUGCCUCAAGGUGUAGCGGUGCGAGACCAAUGCGAAUAUGUCCAUUCAAUCCUUCCUCAAAUCUCUUAGCUCGUGACUCAUCAUCAUUUACCAGUUUUGGGGCGAAGUGGGACAGUCGGUCAAACUCAGCCUCGUACUCCACAGACAUCGAACCUUGCUUCAAAUCCAGAAAUUGUCUUUCAAGCUAGCGAAGCUUGCUCCUUGGAAAGUACUUUGCAUAAAAUGAUAAUCAAAAAUCCUUUCAUGAAAGGGCUGCUAAAUUAUUGCCGCGAGUUCUCAACUCGCUUUUCCACCAAUUAUUUGCUCUGCCUUGAAGCAUGAACGUCCCGAAUCUCACUUUCUCCUCAUCGGUGCACUGCAUGGCCGAAAAUGCCUUCUCCAUCUCUUUGAUCCAAGUUUCCACUUCAUCCGGAUUUGUAGUGCCUGAAAAAGAUGACGGUGUAGAUUUCUUAAACUCAUUGAUGCUCCUCUCUCGAACUCUGGAAUUCGACUCAAUGGCACUAGGAACAAGAUUCUGAUGCAAACUCUGUUGCUGAGUUUGAACUAGCCCGACAACAGCUUGAAUCAAGGUGGCAACUAGGGGAUCCAUCGUGAUACUCUGAGGUAAAAUGGCGGAGUGGGUGGGAAUAGUGGUUUGUGGUGGAGGCGGAACAAAGCCAGAAGGUGCAGUCGACGGCGGAAACGAAGGUAGUGGGAGCGGCCGUCGAAGGCAUCCCCAUAUUAAUAGUCUGCUGCAGAGGUGGAGCAAAAGCCGAAGGAUUUAUUUGAGGCGUUGCGGUCGAUUGUAGCGGAUUCUGGGUAGUAGGCGGAACAAUGGUCUGAGGUGGAACAGUUGCCGAGGAUGUGGUAUUCAAAAGUGAGGCUAAUGUGGCGUUCAUAUCUGCAUCUCCGGAUACGGCUGGAGAUGGGUUCCUCUAUUGCUCGUUGUUGGUGUUGCCACGGCGGGACGGAUGCACUAUCUUUUAUUAAGAGAAGAGAUCACAACCAUAUUAAUACGAGAUGUUAAUCGAAACUACAAAGCAGCAGCGCAACAAAUUUAGAUAUACGCUUACUUCUGCCCAUCCUCACACGUCCUAAUAAUCACUCACUGUCCUAUACCUUAAAAAAAUUCCUAGAGAUCUUAAACCUAUGCUCUGAUACCAAAUGCAACGACCCGACCCGCUAGCAAUAAUAACUCGUUGAGCCCAAACCACCGUCAAAAUGCUUAAGCCUAGUUAUUAUUACUAGCGUGUAGGCCAUCGGGUCAGAUCACAACAAACAGACCAGGACCAGAAUUACCAGGCGAUGUAAAAUUCUAGAAGUGGCUCAUACGGGUUUAAGAGGUGGCUCUCACCAAAUCCGUUGGUGUAGCAUUUUGUCCCGCAUAGCACUUAGCUCUCACAUUUUCGACUAGUAUUCGGCCAUGAUACCAAAUGCAACGACCCCGACCGUUAGCAAUAAUAACUCGUUAGGCCAAACCACCGGCCCAAAAUGCUUAAGCCCAGUUAUUAUUGCUAGCGUGUAGUCCAUCGGGUCAGAUCACAGACAGACAAACCAGGACCAGAAUUACCAGGCGAUGUGAGAUUCUAAAAGUGGCUCCUAAGGGUUCAAGAGGUGGCUCCCACCAAAUCCGUGGGUGUAGCACUUUGUCCCGCAUAGCUCUUAGCUCUCACACUUUCGGCUGGUAUUCGGCUCUGAUACCAAAUGCAACGACCCGACCCGCUAGCAAUAAUUAAUCGUUGGGCCCAAACCAGCUGCCUAAAAUGCUUUAGCCCAGUUAUUAUUACUAGCGUGUAAGCCAUCGGGUCAGAUCACAGACAGACUGACCAGGAUUGGAAUUACCAGGCGAUGUGAGAUUCUAGAGGUGGUUCCUACGGGUUCAAGAGGUGGCUCCCACCAAAUCUGUUGGUGUAGCACUGUCCCACAUAGCACUUAGCUCUCACACUUUUGGUUGGUAUUCGGCUCUGAUACCAAAUGCAACGAUCCGACCCGCUAGCAAUAAUAACUCGCGGCUCAAAAUGUUUAAGCCCAGUUAUUAUUGCUAGCGGGUCUGAUCGUUGCAUUUGGUAUCAGAGCCGAAUACCAGCCGAAAGUGUGAGAGCUAAGGGCUAUGCAGGACAAAGUGCUACACCAACGGAUUUGGUGGGAGCCACCUCGUGAACCCGUAGGAGCCACCUCUAGAAUCUCACAUCGCUUGGGGGCUUAAACAUUUUGGGCCGGUGGUUUGGUCCCAACGAGUUAUUAUUGUUAGCAGGUCGGGUCGUUGCAUAUCAAGCAAUGUUGUUUGAGGAUGUAGAUGAUUUUAUAGAUGAUACUCAUCACCUUAAGAAGGCUGAGAAUGAUGAUGGAACAUAAAAGCUAGCAACACAUGGUGUAGUACAACAGGCGUGGAAGAAAAGAAGCAUCUUCUUUGAUCUACCAUAUUGGGAGCAUAAUCUUAUUCGUCGUAAUCUUGAUUUGAUGCAUGUUGAGAAGAACGUUUGUGAUAAUCAUUGGAGCUAUAUUGAAUUUCAAUGGGAGCACGAAAAAUAAUCUCGGAUCACGUCUUGACUUAAAGGUUAUGGAUAUAAGACAUGAUUUGCAUCCGAAAAUUCUUUCGAACAACAAAACUUAGCUGGCCUGUAGCAUGCUACACCAUGUCAAUGGAGGAAAAAGUUAUCGAAAAAUCGCAAAAUUUAUUUUCUAGAUACUUCAAAUAUGCUAGAUCAAGUCUAAUGGAGCCGAUCGUCGAUUCGGAAGCACCAUCAUCGAAAACGGCUUAGGAGUACGGAGGCCUCCGUGCUCCUAAUAGCACACAAGACUUACUCUGAUAUUUAAAUAGUUUCUAACAGUUUUCAGGAAAAAAAAUUAUCACAAACAAGGAUUAGGUGGUGAAAAUCUAAAUAUAGGUAUUAAUUCUUCGGGGAGCAACGUUCAAAUUGGAAAACUUUUCAAGAGGGUUUUUUAUAUUUUAGUCUUAAAAAAAUGAAAUAAAAAAAUAAGAUAGGUUUUAAUUCAGCAAGCAUACCCAGUGUGUUUCUUGUGCAAGCAACAUCAACAAAGCAUACUCCACAAUAUUUUUCAUAUUUAUAUUCCUCUUAUUUCCCAUUUCCUUCUUUUUAAUGUUAGUACGGAACACGGUGAAUGAUUUAUCGUGUCUAGACAAAAUAUAUGUAUUGUUUGAACACGGCGAAUGAUUCACCGUGUUUAACUUAACACCAUCCUGCUUGCGCGGUGUUGAUGUGGCGCCUGUGUGGCUGGGAUAGGGCUAAAUUUAUAAUUAUAAAUUUGAUGAGGUUAUUUGUAAAAAUUUUUUUUGAGGCCAAAUACAAAAAAAAGCCCUUCAUCAAUAUAUACAGUGCCGAUUUGGUUCAUACAUACCUCUAUAGAUCUCGGGUUCACCAAUUUUUAGGUUUUUCGGUUUGGGAGUGAAGCGGGCCAAAAGCGCCCUUCAAUCUAGGGCCUGGAAAUCGCGCGCCUCCCUCUUCACCCCUUCUUCUCCUCUGACGACACCCCCACCAAAUCUUCUCUCUCUUCUGGUCUCUCUCGCAUCAUUUAGCUUAUUUUCUCUCUCUAGGGCAUUGAAACUCCAAAACCCUUGCUCCUCUAUUGAUCCGAGGUACUCCCCAUCUCUCUCUCUCGCACUCACAGUUCAUCACUAAAUUGAGAUUUCUCACUGCAUCGGGAAAGGUCGGGACGAAGCCAAUCGAGGUUUUGUCUCUACGAAGUUUAGGCUUUUUUUUUACUUUUUGUUUCUUGCGAUUUAUCUAUCAAUUUAAUUGUUUUUAAGUUACCAGAAAUGUUGGGCUUCUCUACGAUCUACAAGUUGGUGAUGUGAGAAAUUAGGAAAGAUAAUGGAGUCAUUGUUUGGUGUUGGAUAAUAUUUUAACUAGCUUUUCAUGGGAGGAACCGAACUGUUUGACUGCUCUGUGUCAUGCUUUAGAGUCUACGUCGCAUGGAAUGCGACUCUGAUGCGGCAAAAUAUUAGAACAGGAUAUAUGUAAAGUAUGGUUAAAAAAAAGAUAUUCUUUUUAAUAUAUGCUAUUAGUACUUGUGAAAAAAGUUUUCAAAAUAGAAUAAGAUAUCGAGAUUUGUGUAUAAAGCUACAAGACGAAGCGUUUCAACAUUCGUCUCGAGUUUUUAUUGACUGUGAACAUAGGAUGGAGUUUCAUCCAAAUGCAUUGUGCGAUAAUGUAUAUAAUAAUAACAAGUUUUUGGAUAUAGCCUACUUGAGAAUGAAUACAUCCAGAACUAAGCACCCCUCCUUAAGUACCCCUCGAGUAUCCAGGUGUUUGACUAAUUUUUAGAGUUGUUUGAUACUUAUUUGAUGCAUCCGACAAUAUGUGAUCGACGUGUGAAAUUAUUAUAUCUAUAACUUGCAUUCCAUUUAUUUUCAGUGGCUUUUGACUAGUCAAAGCUACAAUAAAAUGCAGCAAUUUUUUUUGGUUUAGUAACAAAGAUUUUGGAAAAUGGGACUAUUAAGUUGACUAUAACCAAAGGAAUGUAUUUGUUGAGUAACUGAAAUAUUGGUGAACUUAAAGAUCUAUGAGCUUGUCAAUCAUGUGAAUGAACUCGAGUAAAUGAGUUAUGCUGUAAAUUUCCUUGGUGUCAAGCUACAUGUUGUGCUUCUCUUGCUACCUUGUAUUAUUCCUUUUGUUUUCUUACGAAAUUCGAAUUUGAACGAAAUUGUUUUAGUUUCAGUUGGCGCUGAUUGGAAAUGCGGGUUUGAAAAUGUUCUAAACCGAAAGACUUCAAUAUUGUUUAGGUUGGGUCUAAGAAAGGUUAGUUUUACAAUGCCAAUCAAAAUUGAAUGUAAUGAGCUCAUAGGAUUUAAUUUUAAUAUAUUAAUUAUUAUCUUUUAUGAAUCUAUUAUAUAUUUAAUGAUUUUCUCUCUAUGUUAGAUGGCGCUAUGAAAGUUAGCUUUCUCAGUUAUCGUUUAUGUACUUAAGAUUUCUAUUGUUCUUCAGAAUCAUUGUGAAAUAUUUGAUGACCUUUUAUCAAUGCGUAAAUUGUCAAUAGCGAUGGCCUAAACUGCAACAAAGUUUUCGAACCACUAGUUAUUAUACUGAUAUUGAAAAUAUUAGUUACUAUUUAGGCACUGUUCACUAAGUGCGUAUCUUAAAUCUCGGGUUUAUGGGUAAUAUAAUUCUUUUCUGCUUUCUGUGUGCAUAGGAGGCAUGUUUGUAAGUAAAUUCUUAGUAGGAAUUUGACGGUCAUCACUUGUUUAGAGAAACUGCUUUGCUCUUAAAACUUGAUAUUGAUAAUUAUCUAUUAUGUAUUACUUAGCUAUAACAAUGUUUUGUGUAGAUAAACAAUUCUCAUUCUUGGUCACUGUAAUCCUCAUUUUCUUAUUUAGUGUAUUGGAAGUUUCCUAGCUGUGGUUAGCUACACCUUAUUGUUAUCUUGAUUUGUCAAUUUUCAGCCAAAGAAAAACUGUCCCAGCUAAGAAUUGAUGGCCAAUCAAGAGAUUUUACCUGGAAGCACGAUAAAUACGGAAUCCACCAAACCUCGGAUCCUCCUCGCUGCUUCUGGGAGUGUGGCUGCGAUCAAAUUUGAGAGCCUUUGUCGGAUUUUUUCUGAGUGGGCCGAAGUUAGGGCAGUGGCAACCAAUUCAGCCUUACAUUUCAUAGAUAAAAAAGCACUUCCAAGCAAUGUGAUGCUUUUCACUGAUGAUGAUGAAUGGUCUAGUUGGAAGAAGAUAGGAGAUGGAGUACUCCACAUUGAGCUGAGGAAAUGGGCAGACAUUAUGAUCAUUGCCCCGCUAUCGGCAAAUACCCUUGCAAAGGUACUUUUUUGGGGUUACUUGCAAAUUUGUCCCGGAAGUUUGACCCAUAUUUUAACUUUGUUCUUAAAGUUUCAAUUGUAUAAUUUAUUCUCUGAAGAUUGGUUUGAUUUCAGUUUUGUCCUCAUUUUAUUUUUGACAAUUUAGUCUUUGAAGCUUGAUCCCAAUUUCCAUUUGGUCAUUAGAGUUGCAAAUUCCAAAAUUAAAAGUCAAGUAUCGUAGAUGGUAUGACUUAAUUCUUAUGCAGAACAAACUCUAUGGAUUAAAUUGUUAGAAUUGAAAAUACGAGGAUGAAAUUGAAGAGAGGGUCAAUCUUCAGUGAUUGAAAUUGUGAUCGACCCAUUAUUUUUAUUAACAAAAGGGUAAAAGUGCGCCAGGUUCUCAGGCUUUUUGCUAAGUUUCAUUUUGGUGAUCAACCUUUUUAGUUUUUGCAAUUGGGUUUCUAAAUUUUGUAUCCUGCGAUUGCUGCUCAAAACUUAGCGCAUAUAGGUUACUCUUUUUCUAAAUUUAAAUUGACUGAGAUGUCCAUUAUUUCUUUCCAGCUGCCAUAUAAGCAAGUAUUGUACAUGUAGUUAGGGUUAAGAUCACGGACCUGGUAGGGUGAUAUUUCUAUCCUUUUGAAGGGGAAUAAAAUAUUAAAGGGCUAAUAUUGCGUAAAUGAAGAGUUUAGGGACCUGUCCCCAAAGAUCAAAAGAUUGAGGAUCAUGAUGAAACUUAAUUAAAAG
rnacentral:lncRNA from 1 species